CCUGGCUGGAGGGCCCGGCGGCCACUCCCGGGGACGGCACCACCCACACCGGCAGCAGCCCCUGCGGCCCCGCCGCGAUCGGCGCGAGCCCGCUCGACAUCGAGAUCGCGCCGCCGCCGCCGCCCCCUCCCACCUGGAAAAUCGAGUCCGCGACGAUCGGAUAAUACGCCGCCGCCGCCGCCGCCGCCGGAGGCAUCGGCAUCGGCAUCGGCGUCGGCAUCGCAGGCGUCGGCGUCGUCGUCGUCGUCGCAGCGGCCCGCGUCGGCUGCAGCUUCUUGCGCCGCUUGGCAGCCGAAUCCUCCCCUCCGCCUCCGCCUCCGCCGCCGCCCUCCAAGCCGGCGGCGGCCGACUGGGUGGGGAUCUGGAGGGUUCCGUCGACGGUGGUGGCGAUCGCCGGGACGGUCCCGGUGCCGGUGGCGGCGAUGAUGGCGGGCUCGGCCUGCUGCAGCAGCCAGCGGAUGGUCUCCCCGUCGGACUUGUGGCCCAGCUCCCUCGUCAGCUGGAAUAUCCGCGCCGCGCACACCGCCGGCAUCCGGAUGCGCCGCCCGCGGCCCUCCACCUUCGUGUGCCGGUCCCUGUUGCGCCCACCCCCCGCCUGCUGCUGCUGCUGCUUUCGUAUCAGCUGCAGGCUCCCGAACAGCUCCAUCGGCUCCGGCUUCGGCACGAUGAACCUGUGCAUCGGAACCGCCGCCGCCGUCCGAAGGAGCUCCUCCUCCUCCUCCUCCUCCUCCUCUUUAUCCUGCCUCUCCAACUCCAUAUUAUCACAACUGGUAACAACAGCUCUCUCUCUCUCUCUCUCUCUCUCACACACACACACACACACACACGCACACACUCUCGCUUCCUUUCUUUCUUUCUUUCUCUCUUUCUUUCUCCUGCGAUAAAACCUAAUAUACAGUGGAGCCGCCCCGGGGUGAGAGGAGGCGUCCUCUCUCUCUAUAUCUCCUUGUUUUAGUCUUUUAUUAUCAUCUAUCCGCUGCUUCCUCUUUCCUUUCGCCCCGCCCUCGGUGGGGCCCACUCCUCUUUCGAUCCAACGGCGCAGGAGCCACGCGGCCCCACCGGCUCGGGCACCCGAAUCCCGAAAAUUCUUCGGUGUAACGCUCGAAUGUGGCCCGGCUUGUGGGGCCCACGCGUGAACAGCUACGAGUGUAUGCGCUCUACCUACAAUAUUGUGCUGGAAUGUAUGGUCCGUUUGGAUCCACGUUGCCAUAAAUAUAACAUAAUUAAAAGAAAAACCUUCGCAUACCACCGUGUGGUUUCACAGUCAUUUUAGUGCCCCGUGGUUCAAAGUGUAUUAAUUUCACUAAUUUUUUUAUUAUCAAUUUUAUUAUUUUUUUUGUUAAAUUUAUGAUAAAGUUAAAAUUAAGAGAUACUAAAGUGAAUAUUCGAUAAAUCUAAAUGAACUAUCUGAAGUGUUUUGUAUAUAAUUUAACAAAAUAUUAACGAAAAAACUGACGAAAAGAUAAAAAUGAAACUACAAGACACUAACUUAAUACACUUUAAACCGUAGGGUACUAAAGUGAGAAAGUACGAAACUACAGGGGUGGUGUUUGAAGUUUACCCUAAUUAAAAUUAAAAUUAAAAUUUUGGUUCAUUUCUUUUAGAAUUAAUUUCAUACAAAUCGCUACAAAUAUAAUAUUCUAUGAAAUUCAAUUUUCAUGUAUUGUUCUUAUAAAAAGUCUAAUAUUUUAAAUAUAUCCAUUUGAUUUGUUACCGUCAAAAUAAUAUUUAUUUAUAAAUAAAAUGACCUUUUUACCAUUAUAAAUAUAUCGCUCUAAAAUUCCAACUAUUAAUUAAAGAAGGGUAAGAAGGUCAAUCCACUUAAUUAAUUAAUUCGGAUUAAGUGUUUUAUCUAUGAUUAAUUAAUAUUUUCUAGUGGACCCUAACGGUCUAGUCGAGCAUUGCGCUAAAAAUAUUACAGCUAGAUUUAUUUAUAUUUUAAUUAUUUGAUAGUAUCCAGUUAAAAGUUUUAUACUUAAAAAUAUCUUUUUUUUUUUUUGGUUUAGGGUUGAGAGGUACGUUAGAAGAUUAUUUUUAUCCUCUAAUAAUUUAAUAAAAUUCUCCCUAUGGACAAAUCUAUUUACAAGAUGAGUGGUAGAUAUGGGUUUUUUUUAAUAUAAUUACUCUUUUAGUUGACUGUAUUUUUAAUUAUAUUAUAACACGCUUGGUUCAAAAUAGAAUUAAAAAUUGGAAUAGGAACAAGAACGGACCAGAAUAAAAACAGUAUAAUAAAAACUCACAAGGCAUAUUUGAUUUGAAGGAUUUGUAAUUUAGAAUGGGAAUUUUAAUGAUUCUUUUUCAUUAUUGGUGUUUAGUUUGCAAGAUUAAUAUUCUGAUUUUCAUUUUGAAGGAAAUCGAACAAAUAAUUUUCUCCAAUAGAGGUAAGAAUCAACAACUUUGAUUUCGAAAGGAAUUGAAAUAUUUUUUUUUUCACCAAUAAUUAUUUAAAUUUAAAUAUUAAUUUAUAUUUAAGAUUGAGAAGAAUUAAAUUUAUUUCACAAUUGCUUUUUCUUGAUACAAGGCUGAACAAAAUAGCAUUGUUUUAGAUGUGUAUCAAUAAUAUAUAGAGGCUUUUGCUUAUUUACUCUUUACUAUUAUCCAAAAUUUUUAAAUUUAUUUUCAAAUUAUCAAAAUAUUCUUCCAAAACAAAUUCUAUUUGUGAACCCUAGAAGAAAUUGAAAUAUUUGAAGAAAUUUUUCAAAAUUAAUAAAGAUAUUUUGGACUUUCAGGAAUAAAUAAAAUAUUUUUGAAGUUUUAAAAGAAUAUAUUAGAUAUUAUCUCUUAUAUUAUAUGUGGAUUACUCUGAAUUUUGUAGAUUUUUUAUAAAUGAUACUGCAUAACAAUUAAAUGAAUAACAAACAAAGGUAUGAGCUUUUGUGUGUUUUAUUCUAAAAUUACAUAUGAUUUCGAACAUUUUAUUGUAUUUUAUGUUUCUAAAAUAGAUACAACAAUACCCAAACAACUUUUUUCAAUUCAUGUUUAACCUCCAACAGCCCCAUUUCCUGUCCAAAAAAUAAAGUACAAAAACAAAAAAAAAAAAAAAAAAAAAACAUGCAUAAAAUUUGUUAUAGUUUCGUCUUGAACAAAAACUUUUAGCCAAUUUGCAUAAAAAAUUCACAAAUUUUUGAAUUUUUGCAAAACUGAGCUGUCUUUUUUUAUUUUCCAGAUUCGGACCGAAUUUUUAGAAAACUAAUCAAAAUAUCCAUAUUUCGUUCUCUCGUUCUUUUUUUUUUUUUUUUCUCUCGUUCUUUUUNUUUUUUAUUCCCUCUUCGAAGAGAGAGACGGAGGCGGCCCGCCUCGCCUCUUCCCCUUGCGCCCUCGCCCGCAUUCGCGCACUACCCGCCUUCCUCACCUCCGACCCUACCAAGGCUGUGCUCGCCGCCGCCUUUUGGGACGCCCCUCCUUGCCUCCGUCCCAUGCGCCCUCGACCGCGCCCGCUUACCCUACGCUCUCCUCUCUUCCGACGCCGCCGAGGCUACGCCAUGAUUCUCUUUUCUUUCUGUCCAAACCUUCUCUACAGCCUCUGCAGCCCUUUGCGACCCACCUCCACCUCCACCGCAGCAGAUUUUUCACCAAUCAAACCCACUUCUGGGAACCCGCCGUCCUUACCACCGUCGCCGACAACAAAAAGGAAGCGCUACUCAGCGCCAAGAAGCUCGUUGGUAAAAGAUGAGGCACGCGACACACCGCGCCCAUCCGGGGUCUGCAACGAUCAUGGUAGAGACGGAGGAGAGCGCGACGACAUCGAAGAAAAGGGCAGGGCGGCUGCGAGCGCGGCCUCGGUGAGGUCGGAGGCGAGAAGGGCAGGGGGUGCACGGGAGCAUCUUUGGUUAAUUAUUUUUGUUUGUUUAAAAUAAGAAAAAUUAACUAAAAAUAAAAAAACUAGAGAAUAAGAAAAACGAAUUGGAGAAAAAGAAAAAAAAGAUGAAAUUGCACUGUUAAGAUAAAAUUACAUUAUUUUAAAAAAACGUUGCACUAUUAUAGAAUUAAGUUGCACUUUUUGAGAUGUAAAUUGUAUUUUUUAAGAUGAAAAUUACACUCUUUAAACAAAAGUUACACUUUUUGUGAAAUAGUUAUACUAUUUCUCCUCCCAAAAAGUAUUUUUUAAGAUAAAAAUUACAUUUUUAAACAAAAGUUGCACUCUUUGAAAGAUAAUUGCACUAUUUUUCCUCCCACAGAGCACCCUUUAGGAUGAAAAUUAUACACUUUAAAUGAAAGUUGCACUUGUUCAGAGAUAGUUACACUGUUUCUCCUCACAACGAGUGUAAUUUUUAUUUAAAGAGUGUAACUUUUAUCUUAAAAAGUGCAAUUUAUAUCUCAAAAAAUGCAAUAUUCUUCUAAAAUAGUGUAACUUUAUUUUAACAGUAAAAUUUCAUUAUCUUCUUCCUUUUUCUCUAGUUCUUUUUUUUUUAUUCUUUAGUUUUUUAUUUUUAAUUGAUUUUUUUUUAAGCAAACAAAAAUGUUUAACUUGAGAUGCUCCCGUGCACCCUCCACCCCUCUCGCCGAGGCCGUGCUUAUCGCUGCCCUUUGGUACGCUGCGCUCGCAGCCGCCCCGUCCUCUUCUCCGGCGUCGUCGUGCUCUCCUCCGUCUCCACAUCACUCGUCACCAGCCCCGGGUGGGCACGGUGGGUCACGUGCCCCCUUCCUCGCCAGCGAGUUUCUUGGCAUCGAGAAGCGCUUCCUUUUUGUCGUCAGCGAUGGAGAAGACAGCGGAUUUCCAGAAAUGGGUUUGGUGAGUGAAAAAUUUGCUGCAGUAGAGAUGGAGGUGGACGUGGGUCUUGAAGGGCCGUGGAGACGGUGGAGGAGGUUUGGAGAGAAAAAAAAAGGGGAUUGGGCGCAGCCUCAGCGGGGUCGGAGGUGAGGAGGAUGGGGGGUGAGCAGGCGCGGGUAAGGGCGCAGGGGGCAGAGGCGAGGUGGGCCGCCUCCGCUUCCACCUCUCUUCGUAGAGGGAAAAAAAAGGAGGAGAGAAAAAAGAAAAAAAAAGAAAAAAAAAGAAAAAAUGAAAGGAAUAAGAGAGUAUUUUGGUCGGUUUCUGAAAAUCCGAUUCGAAUAUGUAAAAUAGAAAAAUACGGUCCAGCUAUGCAAAAGUUCAAAACUUGUGAAUAUUUUAUGCAAAUUGGCCAAAACUUUUACAAAAUAUCCAACCAAGCCUUUAGUGCCCUAUAUAUUUUUACGCAAACACUGUACUACCUAUAUGAUCAUUAAAAAAUCUUAAUUUUUCUAUAGAAUAAUUAUUUAUUAUUGUGUCUAAGUCAUUUUGAUGGAAAGAGUAAAAUAAUUUUUUUCACAAAAAUUAUAUUUUACAGGUGCCAAAAUUCCUUUUUCUUUUGUUUUUUCAUCACCCAUAGAUCUUGUAACCGCAAAAUCCUUCCAUAAAAGCUAUCGACUAUAAUAAUAAAUAAUAAUAAUAUAUAAUUCGAAAAUUUAGAGGCUGUGUACGAAACCACGCCAUUUCUUUUUAAAAAUUACAAAUUUUAAUCAGAGAAUAAUAAAAAAAUUGUGACAGGAUGUGAAAAUAGCCAUUUCUUACCAUUAAGGCCCCGUUUGGAUACCUCUAAAAACGUAGCAUAGUUAAACUAUGCUACACUGGUAGGAAAAUAAUCCUAUGAAUCGUUUGGAAGAAAAAAAAAUGACGUAAUUUUUGGAGUAUAGUUAUACUAUACUCCAAAAAAUGGAAUAAACUUACAAUCCACUUUAACCAAAGGAAAAAAAUUCCACCAUUUUGGGCUCCCAAAGAUGUAUCAAUUUUUAAAUUUUAAAUUUCAACAUAAAAUUUUAGAUUUCAAAUUUUAAAAUUUUAAAAUUCAAAUUUAAUUUUGAUUUUAAAUUUCAAAUUUUAAAUUUCAAAUUUCAAAUUUCAAAAACUUCAAAUUUUAAAUUUUAAAUUUCAAAUUUCAAAAACUUCAAAUUUCAAAUUUCAAAUUUCAAAUUUCAAAUUUCAAAUUUCAAAUUUCAAAUUUCAAAUUUCAAAUUUCAACUUUCAAAUUUCAAAUUUCAAAUUUCAAAUUUCAAAUUUCAAAUUUCAAAUUUCAAAUUUCAAAUUUCAAAUUUCAAAUUUCAAAUUUCAAAUUUCAAAUUUCAAAUUUCAAAUUUCAAAUUUCAAAUUUCAAAUUUCAAAUUUCAAAUUUCAAAUUUCAAAUUUCAAAUUUCAAAUUUCAAAUUUCAAAUUUCAAAUUUCAAAUUUCAAAUUUCAAAUUUCAAAUUUCAAAUUUCAAAUUUCAAAUUUCAAAUUUCAAAUUUCAAAUUUCAAAUUUCAAAUUUCAAAUUUCAAAUUUCAAAUUUCAAAUUUCAAAUUUCAAAUUUCAAAUUUCAAAUUUCAAAUUUCAAAUUUCAAAUUUCAAAUUUCAAAUUUCAAAUUUCAAAUUUCAAAUUUCAAAUUUCAAAUUUCAAAUUUCAAAUUUCAAAUUUCAAAUUUCAAAUUUCAAAUUUCAAAUUUCAAAUUUCAAAUUUCAAAUUUCAAAUUUCAAAUUUCAAAUUUCAAAUUUCAAAUUUCAAAUUUCAAAUUUCAAAUUUCAAAUUUCAAAUUUCAAAUUUCAAAUUUCAAAUUUCAAAUUUCAAAUUUCAAAUUUCAAAUUUCAAAUUUCAAAUUUCAAAAAGUUCAAAUUUCAAAUUUCAAAUUUCAAAAAGUUCAAAUUUCAAAUUUCAAAUUUCAAAUUUUAAUUUUAUUUUUAAUUUUUAAUUUUCAAUCUUCAAAAUUUAAAUUUAAACUUAAAUUUAAAAUUUUAAAUUUAUAAAUAUGUAAAUUUAUAAAUUAUUAAAUUUGAAAUUUAAAAUUUUAAUUAUAGAUUUUUUAAAUUUCAAAAUUUAAAGUUUAAAUGGUAUACUUUAAGUUUUAAAUUUUAAAGUUUCAAAUUUCAAAUUUGAAAUUUGAAAUUUCAAAUUUCAAAUUUCAAAUUUAAAACAUAAAAUCUAAUUUACUUUUUUAAUUUUAAAUUUUAAAUUUUAAUUUUAUAUUUUGAAUUUUUAAUUUUAAUUUUUAGAAUUUUAUUUUUAAAUUUUGAAUUUUGAAUUUUGAAUUUUGAGUUUUGAAUUUUGAAUUUUAAAAUUUUAGAAAUUUAAUUGUUAUAAAUACUGUGGAAUUGUAUGAUAUGUAUCCAAACAACUUAAAAAUGAAGCUGUGAAAUUUUUUUGUAGUUACAGGAUUUCGUAUUUCAUUUAGACCAAAACCAUAGAAUAAAAAUUCUAUGGAGUUUUUUAACUAUGCAUCCAAACAGGGCCUAAAUGUUGUCUAGUGUUUGCUUAGGCAUUGUUUGAAUAUAUAAAUAAUUUACUACUCAAUUUAAUUUAUUCUAACUUAGACUCUGGUUGAAUAUUGGAAUAAUAUUAUUUAAUGAUAAUAUUUCAAGAGCUAGGCUCCUAUGCUUUCGUCAAUACGGAGGUCUCCGUGCUUGUAAGUUAUUUUCGAUGAUGGAGCAUUCGAUUUGGCGAUCGACUCCGCUAGACAUGAUCUACGCUAUAGGAACUAUUUAGAAACCAAAUUUCAUAAUUUUUUUGACUUUAUUUGCCUAGUGAAUGAGUAGGUUCAAAAUAAACGGCUGAAAAUAAAAAUCUCACAAAAAAUAGUGAUAAAGAACUCAAAUUUCAAAUCAAAAGUAUUGUUCUUUCUCUUGAUGUUAAGUAGAAUUUUCUAUUAAAGUUUCAUAUAAUUUGGAUUCUUCUACACCGUUGAACUUUAAAACGCACCACAUCGGCUGUUAAAAUAGGCAUUUUUUAGACUCUCUGAUCACUUGGUAAAUGAUGUCAAAAAAUUAUAAAAUUUGGUUUCUAAAUAGUUCUAAUAGCGUAAAUCAUACCUAACGGAGCCAAUCGCCGAAUCGGAUGCUCCAUCAUAAAAAACAACUUAAAAGCACGAAAGCGUCUGUAUUUUCGAAAGUAUAGAAGACAUACUCAUAUUUCAAUAUGAAACUACGAAAGUUUCUUUUUAUGCGAUUGAAAGUAAAAGAUUUGACUUUUGAUUUUUGAUUUUUGAUUUUUGAAACAGCCUAGCAUCCAUGAUUUUGUAUAAUUUCAUAUUUCAUCAGUAAGUUAAUUUAUCCUAUUCUAAAAGAAAAAUUGAAGGUAAAUUAAGAUAUUCUAUUCUAAAUAUUUGAUCACACAUCUAAUCUACCAAAUAUUAGAAGUUUCUUGAGUAAAUUAAAGAAAUAUACGGAACAAAGUGUUCAUGCAAGAAGCUCAUAGUAUUUGAUAAAUGAAGAGUAUAAUUAAAUAUGUAUAAUGGCAUAGUAUAUUCAACCUUAAAAUUAUUUUUUUUGAAUUUAAAUAAAAUCAUCUUGUAUGCGAAAUAUAUUAUCUUAUUAAAUCAUAGAUCUUAACACUUCUUAAGACUUACUCGAAUGUCAGAAUAAAUUAUUUGAUGAUAAUUUAUUCGGUUAAAUAUUUUUUAUGUGAUUGUUAUGAGUUUAAUUUUUACUCAAUAAAAAAUUUUGACAUCUAUAAUUUAAUAAAAUAAUAUAUUUUACUUAUGAGAUAAUUUAACUUAUUCUGAAAAAAAAAAAAGCCCGAGAGCUUGAAUAUACAAUUCAAUUAGAUAUUUGACUGCACUUUUAAAAUUCAGUUAGUACUAAAAUUUCUUAUAUCGGAUGGGAUCUUAAGGAACAAAAAUCGAACUCUUAAGCUCCAAUCAUACAAAAAAAAUACCGACCGUCCCUAGCGCAAGUGACAAAGAGCUUGCUGGUUGGUACCCAAGAUCCCAACGUCGAAUCCUAAUUAAUUCACAUUUCCAGCUAAGUUUAUUUCUAAAUGAAAUAAACGAAACGGGUAGCAUACUACUUAUCUCUCAAAAAAAAAAUCAUACAAAAAAUAUAUAUAUACUGAAUAAACAAUUAUUGAUAUAUUAUUCCAAUAUUCAUAUGUAAAAAUGUACGUAACUUACCUGUACUUUUAACUAGUUUUAAUUGGUUAUCCAACCUUUUCAAUUUGUUUACUUUUAAUCAGUCAACGACAGUUUGUAUUUUCACAUAUUUAGUAUACUUCAUGUAAUUCUCAGAACUAAUAAUUUUACUGAAAUAAGUAAUUAGCUUAAAUUUUAAAGUUAGAAUAUUGUUAAUUGAUUCAACAGAAAAAUUAAAAAAUUGAAUAGUAAAAUUAAAAUUUUGAAAGACUAAUUUGUUGGUUCAAAAUAAUUCAUAAUUUAUAUAAGCAUCUAUGAUUUUAUGUAUUUAUUAGAUUUGUAAAUUGAAAAGUUUAGAACCAAAUCUUAUUAUCGAGAUAGUACGGGCACUAACAUGCUAUUCCUAGCCAGAAAGAUGAAGGAAAAAAAAAUUAUUUGUACAAUCUCAAUAUAUAUAUAUAUAUAUAUAUAUAUAUAUAUAGAGAGAGAGAGAGAGAGAGAGAGAGAGAGAGUUGAGCUAGAAUACAUUCAAAAGCACCAAUGAGAUGAUGCUUUUGAGUUUUUAACCAUUGGAUGGAGAUAUGUAAGAUUGUGAUGAUGGUGGUAGGUAGUGGUAUGUGGAAUAGUGUUUGAUCCAAGGGCUAUUAGUAAUGAAGGAGUAGAUCCAAAGGCUAGAAAUCUGAAAACACCAAUGGGGUGAUACUUUUAAAAGUAUUCUAGCUCAAUAUUAUAUAUAUAUAUAUAUAGUAUAUAUAUAUUAUAUAUAUAUUAUAUAAUAUAUAUAUAUAUAUAUAUAUAUAUAAAAUUGAGUUCCUAUGCUUUUAAAAAUACCAAGUUGUUGGUGCUUGUAGAGUAAUGAGUGGGUGGUUGGUUGAAUAGUAUAAUCUAACGGUUGAAAAUGAUCAAAGCCAUAAAUCUAAUGGUAAAAAAUUUACAAGCACCAAGUAUUUCGUGCUUUUACAAGCACAUAACCGGAAUAUAUAUAUAUAAUAUUAAUAUAUAUAUAUAUAUAUCUAUAUAGAGUCCGGUACUAUGCUAUUAAUUAGCAUGAAGCACUUGUGUCUACCAAGUUUUCUGCCGUUAGAUCUAGCCUCUUGAUCAUUUUCACCCGUUAGAUCAUACUAUUCAACCAACACCCACUCAACCCUUGGGGCCCAUCAUCCUAACGCACAUCUCUUAAUCCCAAUAGCAAAAAACUUGGUAGCACCAAUGACUUGGUGCUAUUAAUAGUAUAUUAGCCUAGUAGUAUAAUAUAUAUAUAUAUAUAUAUAUAUAUAUAUUAUAUAUAUAUAGAGCUAGACUUACUAUACUAUCUAUAGUACGAGCUCAGUAUAUAUAGUGUUGGUUUUCGAUCUUAGGGCGUUCAAAUCAACGAUCCAUACCGUUAAACUGAUCUAGGGUAUUUAAAGUUUCUAGAAAUAAAAUUUUAUAUUUUUUUCGACAUAGUUUACUUUAUGAUCAAACUAUUUCAAAAUUGUCAAUUUCAAACGGCUAUUAUGACGCGUUUGGAGUUUAGACGGUGUAGAAGAAUCUAAAUUCUUCAAAUUUUGAUAGAAAUACUUUAAACUAUAUAGAUCAAAGUUAACAUUCUUGAUCUUGGAAUUUAAAAGUCCUAUACUCAAAUUUAAAGAUUAUUCAAUUUCACCGUCCAUUUUGAUAUAAUUUAUUUACUAAGUAAACGAUAUCGAAAAAACUAAAAUUUAUUCCUAAGAAAUUUAUAUACCCUAGAUCAUAUUUAACGGUGCGGAUCAUUGAUUUGAACGUCCUAAGAUCGAAAACAAACACUAUUAGUACCGGACUCGGUACUAUAGAUAGUAUAGUAGUGCCUAAUUCUAUAUAUAUAUAUAUAUAUUAUAUAUAUAUAUAUAUAUAGGGUUCGGCUACUAUGCUUUUAAUAGGAUUGGGACUGUCCUUAUCAAGUCGAUUUGAAUGAUCGGAACUUUCAAUUUGAUAAUCGGCACCAAUUGAAGUUGAUUACACAAUUAGAAAUGUUUUAGAACCAAAUUUUGUAUUAUUUAAAAAUCAUUAUCAAGUUCAUCUUAAGAGUUGAAAAUGAACGGUUAAAUGAAUAACCUUCUUAAAAAUAGAGGUUAGACUUUCUUAGUUCGUAAUCAGAGUUAUCCAAACUUAUCUAAAUAGUAUAAAGAUAUUUUCUAUCAAAAAUUCAAGCAAUUUGGAUUGCUCUACAUCGUUAAACAAGCAAACGGCCUCAUAUAGCCGUAAAAAUUGUCGAUUUUUACGGACCUUUGAUCACCAUGUAACAUUAUCAAAUUUAUGAAAUUUAGUUUCUAGAUAUUCAAUACUCUAGAUCAUUUCAAUGGCCUCCGAUCAUCGAUUCGGAAUCUCGAUCAUCAAGAACAAUUGAUAAGAUAAGUUCUCCUAUCCUAUAAAUUGGAUAGUAGCAUUACUACUAUAUAUAUAUAUAUAUAUAUAUAUAUAUAUAUUAUAUAUAUAUUAUAUAUAUAUAUAUAUAUAAUAUAUAUAUAAUAUAUAUAUAUAUAGCUGGUAUGCUUAUGGAAGCACGGAGCCCUCCGUGUUUCCAAGUUGUUUUCGAUGUUCGGACUUUCGAAUUGACGAUCGGCUCCGUUAGAGUUGAUCUAGAGUAUUUGAAGUACCUAGGAAAUAAAUUUUGUGAUUUUUCGAUAUCAUUUGCCUAGUGAUCGAAGAGACUCAAAAUCAAUAAUUUUAAUGACCGUGGUGAGCCGGUUGCAAGUUUAACGGUGUAGAAAUAUCCAAAUCACAUGAAAUUUUGAUAGAAAAUUCUUUAUACCAUAUAAAACAAGAUCAAUAACUUUGAUCUAAAAUUUUAAUAUCAUAUCAUCAUAUUUUGUAAGAUUUUUAAUUUCAGCCGUUGAUUUUGAGCCACUUCGAUCACUAGGCAAAUGAUAUCGAAAAAUCGCAAAAUUUAUUUUCUAGAUACUUCAAAUACUCUAGAUCAAAUCUAACGGAGCCGAUUGUCGAUUCGAAAGUCCGAACAUCGAAAACAAAGUGAAAGCACGGAGCCCUCCGUGCUUCCAUAAGCAUCAUAGCCGCACUACACACACACACACACACACACACACACACUAUCUAUUUAGAAUGGAAUGAUCUUUAUCAGUAAUAUUGAUAUGACUAGCAAAAAAAUUUUCAUCCAACAGCGUAUAAAGUGUACAUCUUAUUGCUGGAAGACUAAUAAAUUUGACAAGUAACCGACCGUCCCUAGAGCAAGUGGCAAAAGGCUUGGUGGCUGGUAUUCGAGACCUAAAUUCGAAUUCUAGUUGAUUUACAUUUCAAGCUAAAUUUAUUUCUAAAUAAAAUAAACGAAACGGAUAGCAUGCUAUCUAUUUCUAAAAAAAAAAAAAAAAUCUGGCAAGUGGGCCCCACAUGGGGUGUGCAACGAUUGUGCAGAACGGGGAUGGGAGAAGUGUUGCGUGGGCCCCACGCAACAGUGGGGACCACGCGGCAGUGUCAGUGCAUCGCUUUUCUAAAUGAUUUAUCUCAAAACAGUAGAUGGUAUCUCUUUUAUUUUUUGGAAAAAUUUCUUCAAUACCCUUCCAAGUAGCUUUAAUUUCAUAAAUAUCCUUCAAAAUUUUAAAAUUUCAUAUUUGCCCUUCAAAAGUAUGGAAAAGUUUCAAAAAUACCGUCACUGCUAACAAUCUGUUAUAUUAGCUUCAAAAUACCAAUUUUACCCUCUAUUUUAAUUUAAUCACCACUCUCAUAAAUUUUUUUUUUGAAUAUAUGAAGACCCCCUCAAUUACUACCCAUUGUGAAAUACCCUUCUAAAUUUAACUUUUUAAUUAAAGUCUUCUUAAAUUUUAUUUUCUUAAAUUGAAUGAUUUUUUAUUAUUAAAUUAGAGAUUUUAUCUAAUCCAUUAAUGAUUCAAAUAAAUUUAAUAAUUUUAAUAACUUCGUAGUAUAUAAAAUUAAAUAAGUUUCUGUUCAAAAAAAUAAUAAUAAUAAAAACUUCAAGGAUUUACUUAAAUGACCUAUAGUUGAUAGUUUUAGUAUAAAUAUCAAAAAUAAGCGAAAAAAAUUUUAAUUUUUAAACAAAAAAUAAGGGUAAAAUGGUAAUUUCAUAUUUUGAAAUAAAAUAAAAAAAAUGCUAUGUUGACGGAAGUUAGCAAAAAAUUAACGGUGAGGGUAUUUAUGAAAAAAAUAUUGUAUUUAGAGGGGUAUUUGUGAAAUUUUAAAAAUUCAAAAGGUAUUUAUGAUAUUUCAUAACUUUGUGAGGGUACAAAUGAAUUAACCCUUGUUUUUUUAUUUUAAGGAGUUGCGGAAAAGAUUCUACUGAAUCACACUUGUAUAAUAUCAUCAAUAAUAAAUUAAUUAUAUUUUUUUAAAAAAUAGUAUAAUAAAUAUAUUUUUUAUAAUUAUAAUGUGACGAAUGAUUUUAGAAAAGAGUCAAUUGAUUGGUUGAAUAUGCUGCAUCACUAAUAUAAUCGGUGUACUCUAGAAUUUUUUCAUAGUGGGGACACGGAAGGAGGGGCCACCCGAUUCGGACGGACGCGGACUGCAUGAGUUAGCAAGCUGAUGCGGAUCCAAUGGCUGUGGAGGCGUUGUCGUUUCGGCAGGUGGCCCGGGCUUUGGCCCACAAUCACUAUGACUAAUUUUAGCAAUGCUACCGGCCAUCUUAGCGCAAGUAGCAGAGGACUUGUUGGUUAGUACCCGAGGUUUUAAGUUCGAAGCUUAAUUGAUUCACAUUUCUAAGUUUAUUUUUCAAAAGAAUAAAUGAAGCGAGUAGCAUAUUAUCUAUCUCUUAAAAAAAAAUAUAUUAGCAAUGCUAUUCCCCACCAACUAAUAGAAAAAAAAAAACUCUUAGAAGGAGAUCUCCAACCACACCUCAUUAAGAAAUUUCAAUUCGUAAUCAAUUGUCACUUUUAUGUCUUCUCAACGGUUAUAAUUAUUUUUGUUAGGGUUAAAUUUUUUUAAUUAUUUUUGUUGGGGUUUAAAUUUUUUUAAAUUUUAGUAUUAAAAAUAACUCAACAAAUCAUUGUAUAAAGGCAAAACUAAUAUAUGGCAACGGGUCAGGAACUCCCCCGCUAGACGUGGUUGUGAAGUUCCUAGGGGAUUAUAGUAUUCAUUAUACAUUUUUUAUCCCUUAUUACAUAUUAGUACAAUCAUCAGUUAGUAAAUUCUAGACAUUAUAAAAGACUAAAUCAAGAUCUUUAAUCUCACUAAUUUUUCUUUGUAAUACUAAGAAUUUUAAAUAUAUAUAAAUUUGUGGGUGUGAGAUGUACACCCUUAUUAUAAAAUAUGUAUUUAAUAUUUUCUAACUAAGUUUUCUAAUUUUUAAGUAAAUAGAAAGUAAUAUAUAUAUAUAUAUAUAUAUAUAUAUAUAUAUAUAUAUAUAUAUAUAUAUAUAUUGGAGGGAAAACUUCAAAUACCACCCUUGUGGUGUCACGUUUUUUCACUCUACUAUCAUGUGAUUUAAAAUAUAUUACUUCAGUAUCUUAUAGUUUUGUUUUUGUCUUUUAGAUAUCUCCUCUGCUAAUUUUUUUUUUAAAUCGGUGACAAAAUUAAAACUAUAAAAUACUUAAGUGAAAUUCGGUAAGCUACUAGAUGUAGUAUCUGAAGUUUAUGUAUAUGAUUCAAUAGAGAGUUAGCAAAGAUAUUGACGGAAAGAGAAAAAUGUAAUCAUAGGGUGCUAAAGUGAUACACUUUAAACCACGUGCGGCGUACUUUAUUUUUUCUGUAACCAAGGGCCUUACCUUCGACAUCGCCGUCGUCAUAGAGCUCGUUGUCGUCAUGGAUAAAGAGAAAAUGAUAUUAAAAAUGAUGAAACUCAAUAUUAAAAUAUAAAUUAUAUAUAUAAUGGAUAAAAAGGUCAUUUUAACUUUUAGCUAGCUGUGGUUAGUUAUUUUAAACUCAUAGUUAUUUAAAUUUUGGUAAUAGAAAGAUAUAUUUGCAACGGAAACAUUUUUGAAACGACAAAUUUGAUAACUUAAGUUUUAUAAGGAAAUAUUUUCUAUUUGUUAUCCUUGCAUGUAGCCAUAUGCAAUUACUCCUCUAUAUAUAUAUAUAUAUAUAUAUAUAUAUAUAUAUAUAUAUAUAUAUAUAUAUAAUUAUUAUAUUACAAUGUGAUAUAUUGUAUAUAUUAAGUAUGAAUAUUAAUUAUAGUAAUAUGAUAUUAUAUGUAUAGAUUGUGAUCGUAUAUGUGUAUAUAAGAUGUUGUAAUUAUAUGUAUAUUCAGUAUAAUACUGAUAUUUGUUAAUGUUGAUAUUAUUAUGUAUAUUUAAUACUAUUAAUAUUAAUUAUUAAUAUCAUGUAUAUUGAUAGAUAUAGUAUAUUUGCUAAUAUAUAUACUAUGUAUAUAUACUGUAUAUCCUUAUACAUAUAUAUAUUAUAUAUAUAUAUAUAUUGUUGGAACACGUGCCUUUGCUGCAGCAUGUUAUCAUCUUCCUUAAAUAAAUGAGAAUCACCCGCACCUCUAAUUAAUUUCUCUUCCUCUUUUUAUCUGGGACCUACGCAAGGAAGGAAAAUCCGGUUGAAGUUGAGCAACGUCGACGAUCGCGUCGGCGACUUGUUUGCGUUCGUACGUGACUCGGUGUUAGCCGUAUCAAUCGCGAGAGCCGGGCGGAGGAUGUUUCGUCUCGAUUCCUUGCCGGAAUUAGGAGUCUCUGGUAGUGGUAUACUCUCACUUCUCCAUGGAUCUCUCUACUCAAGCUUCAUCAAUCGACUAAUGCUGAUUCGCAGGAUCCUGGUUGUCGACUGUUAGUAUUUCAGCUCGUACGCGACGAGAAGCAUGCGAUUCGACGAAUUGGUUCGUUGGAACCUGAAUUCGAGACGAACCAACGGACUUACCACGCUCGAAUUUGGAAAAGUGUUUGCUCUGUCGAAAUUCCUUUUACUGAAGUUGCCGAACAGACUCUAAGUGUCGGAUUGCUGAUUCCGCAUCGACGCCGCUGUUACUGUUCUCGUAAGUCGAACGUGACGAAAUUGCCUGCUAGAUCGCUAUACUUCAGAACGAAAGAUUCUGGAGCGCCAAAUCGCAACGUUGAGCGUUGCCCUGUCGAACCAGUAGUACUAGCUCGUUGCGACCAAUUCAGAAGAUGCGUUUCGCAGUCUCAACGUCGACGUUCUUCUGCCACUCCGCCGCACGAGUCGCGAAUUCAGCAAACCUGGCCUUGGACGUGACUUCGAAUGAACUUCAGACCCUUGUUUACUAGAAUUGGAUAAGUUACAUGGUCUGAUUCGCUUCUAUUCGCUACAGGAGUUGCUGAAGUUAGUAUAUCGUUUUACUCCUAAUCAUAUUUUCGCAUGUAAAAUAAUUCGACGCAUUGAACCUAUUCUACUCGAAGUCAUGAUUAUAUGUAGAUUCAAUCGACAUUGGAGUAUAUGUAAUAAAUUAAGUAGUAAUACAGUUUGACUGGAAAUAUUAGAUAUAAAACCUGCGAUUAUGGACCUGUCCUUUUAACUGCUGAUUAGCUCAGAGCCUAAUUAAAUGUACUUUCGCAUAAUCUCCAGACAUACUCAGUAGUUUAAGAUUAAUUACCUCGUCGCUGUUGCGCCGAUGGAUCUUUAACAUGAUCGUUCAUCGUUCCCCGCGUGUGUCUAAAGUGACGGGAUCUCAGUAUUGCCUUUUGGCGUUCAGAUGUGCCGAUGCACAUACCUGUUGUCGGUUCAGAACCAUUUUACUCGAUUACUGUGACUUUGGCUUUUCAGAGCCUGUUUGAGCUCGACAGAGAUACGCUGCAUACUCGGUUGGGUAGCGCCCACGAGUGCCACUCCGGAGUCAGGCUUUGUGCUUUCGCGUUGGUGUCGCUCAUGCCAGUUGGACUUGCUCUCCACGGACCAGUUAGUGUGGAUAGAGCCCGAUAGUCGCAACGGGGCAGGGACGGGUGUAUUCACAGUCCCGGGGACGGGUAUGCUUACAGUCCCGAUUGGAUUGGGUCAGAUUUGACAUUUCCUACAGUUGGUUAGUGUAGAGCAUGAUAGCGUAGUGAUUGAUAGCGGUAGAGUGUACUUCCUGCUUUUCCUACUAUUUUUGCUCCCUUCUGUAGACUUAGUGGGUAGACCGAUGUUGUUUUGGGCGGCACCCACUGAGGACUACCUGUUUUUACAGUAGUUCUCACGCUCAGUUGUUACUCCUGUUUUGCAGAGCCACAGGUGCCGGCUGCUGCAUCUUCCGCCGACCAGAAUCGAGGCAAGGACGUUGCGAGCUAGAGCCCUACCCGACAGUCAGAGCUAGAGGCUUUCCACUACUGCAGGUAGUUGUUUUGGAGUUUAUGUACAUAGUUGUUUAACUCGCCAGUGCGAGUAACCUUGUAUUUUGGAUUCUAGCUAUGUAUAUGAAACUCAGUUAUUUAGUUUUUUUGAGCAGCUCUAUGCUACUGUUUGUAGUAUCGUAUUUCUACAGGUACUUUGACGUUUCGUAUACAAGGAAAAUUUCUUUGUAUACGGCGGAUUUGUCGGCGUGCCCGGGGAACGAGAUAUCCGGGGCGUGACAGAUUAAGUUGGUAUCAGAGCUUUGCUAUAGGUCGUUGGGACCUAGGAAACCCUAAGUUGGCAAACCUUAAGAAGCAAGACGCGAGAGGCGUCAUUUAAUUGCGAAGGUCAAUGAUUAUUUGUUCUAAUUCCUCCUAGAGUGGAGUGAGUGACUGAAGGAGUUCCUGUUUUGGCCUGAAAAAUUAUGUUGGCUGCAGACGACAUAAUUUUGGAGGAAAACAGGGACCGCCUUCCCGACUUUCGUUGAUUGGGUCUAGAGUGUUGCGUGUAUCUGACCCCGACUUGUUUCUUUUUAGCUAUGUAUCGUCGCCGAGGUCGACCGUCGUUGCGGGAUCGUGCGGGACCUUCUGAGAGAUCUGAGCAGAUGGAGCAGAGUGCUCGGCAGGAGCAGAGGGACAGACCGGAGGUUAGUGCAUCCCCUGUUAUAGAGCCGAGUGCGCUACCUGAGGCUGGCGCAUCCCCUGAUCUGAGUGCACAGUUGGCUGCCCUGACUGAGGUGACGAGGCAGCAGGGGGAGUUAUUGCAGAGGUUGUGUGAGAGGAUAGCUCAGCCACCGAGUUCAGCACCGAGAGUACCAGAGUCGCCAGUGCCACCCCCGACUACUCCAGUGACCGCACCAGCUGCAGCAGUUCCUCCGUCGGCAGCAGUUCCAGUAGCGCCAGUUGCGCCUGCCAGGGGGCUUGUACCAUUGACUGAGGCCGAGCAGGAGCGGUGGACGGAGAGGUUAGCUCGUUUCCGCCGAUUUGAUCCACCGAUCUUCGAUGGUAGAGGCACUGAGGCCUGGGUUGUUGAGGGUUGGGUCAGUGCUAUGGAGAGGUUAUUCGAGGAUCUGUACGUUCCAGAGGGGGAGCAGGUACCUUUGGGAGUACACUGUUUGUCAGGUGAUGCACGUGACUGGUGGCGGAGAGUGAAGCGAGACCAGAGACUGGAGGCAGCGCAGCUGAGGUGGGAUGAGUUCUGUGGAAUGCUGUAUGGGAUGUAUUUUCCCAACAGCAUGAAACAGAAGGUUGAGGAGGAUUUGAAGAGGAUCCAGCAGGGCGAGCGGACAGUUCAGGAGUAUGUUCGGGAGUUUACUAGACUCCUGAACUGUGUUCCGUUCGUGGCCAGAGACGAGGCACAUAGGGUCUACUUGUUCGAGCAGGGUUUGAGACCCGACCUGUUCAGGUUCGUCAGGGCGCAGAGGUCGAGGACUUUGGAUGCGUCCAUUGAGCAGGCAUUAUGAGAGGAGAGAGGAGAGGUGUCGCUGUGGGAGAGAGCUCAGGGGCCGGGACAGAGUCAGGACAGGAAGCGCCCAGCUCCAGACGACGGAGGUCAGUCGAGUAGCAGGCGUCCGCCGAGGCCUCCACGAUCGCGUUCACAGGGUCGUGGAUUCUCGGGGCGUCAGCGAUUCAGGGACUCUCGUCAGAGGGGACAGACAGAGAGGACGCCGCAGUGUGUGAUCUGCGGAGGACCACACUGGCCCAGACAGUGUGAGCAGAGGGAGGGCCGGUGCUACGGGUGUGGUGAGCCGGGACACAUGAGGGCAGCUUGUCCCCGAGCAGCAUCGCCAGCACCAUCAUCAGCUUCAGCUCCACCAGCACCUCAGCAGACUUACAAAGCAGCACCGAGUUACCGCCAGGAGGAUAGGUCGUCCAUGCCGCGACAGAGUGAGCGGCGACAGCAGGCUCCGAGUGGCAGAGUCUAUGCAGCUCAGGUAGAGGACUCUACAGCAGCCGACCGAGUAGUGGCAGGUAUCACUUUGAUUUCUGGCAUUAGAGUUCGCACUCUUUUUGAUAUUGGUGCAUCGCAUUCAUUUGUUAGCCGGGCAUUUGCAUUGUUGCAUGGUCUAGAGUUGGGCAUUGUCACAGGCACGAGAGGUGCAGAUCCCGGACCAUGUUUUACAGGUUGCUGAGUGUUGUUGGUCGUGUCCGGUGCAGUUGGAUUCGUGGGUCAUGCCCGCAGACCUGUUGGAGCUAGGGCAGCUGCAGGACUUUGACGUUGUGCUCGGUAUGGAUUGGCUGGCGCGGUACUAUGCUACUAUUGAUUGUGGAGCGAGGACUGUGACGUUCCGCGAACCAGGCCAGGAGGAGUUUACUUUUAGAGGCUGCAGGAGCACGCUGUUUGCCACCUCGAUAUCUUCGGCGAGGGCUCGACAGAUGCUGAGUAGCGGGUGUAUUGCUUACUUAGCGACAGUUGUGGAGGUACCUACGGCGGCACCGGGACUCGAGGAUAUUCCAGUAGUCCGCGAGUUUUCGGAUGUAUUUCCCCUUGAGUUAACGACAUUGCCGCCGGAGAGGGAGAUUGAGUUUGUGAUUGAUGUAGUUCCUGGAACUACACCAAUCUCGAAGGUACCUUAUCGGAUGGCGCUGGCUGAGCUGAGAGAGCUAAAGGCACAGCUUCAGGAUUUGAUGGAUAAAGGGUUUGUGAGACCCAGUGUGUCGCCUUGGGGAGCGCCAGUGCUAUUUGUAAAGAAGAAGGAUGGUUUGCUCAGGUUAUGUGUGGAUUACCGGGAGCUGAAUAAAGUGACCAUCAAGAAUAAGUAUCCCUUGCCGCGCAUUGAUGAUUUGUUUGAUCAGCUGCAGGGAUCUUAUGUCUUCUCGAAGAUUGAUCUCCAGUCAGGUUACCACCAGUUGAGGGUGAGGGCCGAGGAUGUACCCAAGACGGCUUUUCGGACUCGGUACGGGCAUUAUGAGUUCACGGUGAUGCCUUUUGGAUUGACGAAUGCCCCUGCCGCAUUCAUGGAUUUGAUGAACAGAGUGUUCAAGCCGUUCUUGGAUAGGUUUGUGGUAGUCUUUAUUGAUUAUAUCUUGAUUUACUCCCGGAGCGAUGCUGAGCAUGAGGAGCACUUGAGGAUUGUGCUACAGCUUCUGCGAGAGAAGAAGUUGUAUGCCAAGUUAAAGAAGUGCGAGUUUUGGUUACGGGAGGUCGCUUUCUUGGGCCACGUGAUUUCAGCCGAGGGCGUAGCAGUGGACCCAAAGAAGAUUGAGGCGAUUCGGGAUUGGCCGAGACCGACGACGGUGACUGAGGUACGGAGCUUCCUGGGACUGGCAGGAUAUUACCGUCGGUUUGUGGAAGGCUUUGCGAAGCUUUCCACACUCCUCACACGCUUGACGCGGAAGGGGAUUCGUUUUGUCUGGAGCGACGACUGUCAGAGGAGCUUUGACGAGUUGAGACUGAGGUUGACGUCGGCUCCUAUCCUUGCUCUUCCGGUGAUAGGGGAUGGAUUCGUGAUCUACAGUGAUGCAUCGCACAGUGGACUUGGUUGCGUGCUGAUGCAGCAUGAUAGGGUGAUUGCUUAUGCUUCACAGCAGUUAAAGGAUUAUGAGAAGAAUUACCCUACGCAUGAUUUGGAGCUUGCCGCGGUGGUUUUUGCUUUGAAGCUCUGGCGGCAUUACUUGUACGGCGAGCACUGCGAGGUAUUCACCGAUCAUUAAAGUCUCAAGUAUCUGUUCACACAGAAGGAGCUGAAUCUGAGGCAGCGCCGGUGGUUGGAGUUACUGAAGGACUAUGACAUUAGUAUUCAGUAUCAUCCCGGCAGGGCGAAUGUGGUGGCAGAUGCGUUGAGCAGGAAGUCAGUGCAGAGCCUGAGUUUGAGGAUUACUGAGCAGAGACCCCUACUCGAGGAGCUACGGCGGCUGGGACUCGAGAUAGUACCCCCUCGGUCUACGGCGAGGCUGAUGUCUCUAGUACUACUGCCCACUCUGUUGGAUAGGAUCCGAGAGAAACAGAGUGGAGAUCCGUACUUGGUGAGGAUUAGAGAGCAGCUAGACAGGGGGCAGGCUGAGGGUUUUGCUUUGGACAGUUCGGGAGUACUACGGUACAGGGACCGACUGUGUGUGCCUGUGGAUCCGGAAGUUCGAGCGGAUAUUCUGAGAGAGGCUCAUUGUUCCCCAUAUACGGUUCACCCUGGGGGAACCAAGAUGUAUAAGGAUCUUAAGGCACAGUUCUGGUGGCCUGGAAUGAAGAGGGACAUUGGCAGAUAUGUGGCUCAGUGUUUGACUUGCCAACAGGUGAAGGCCGAGCAUCAGGUGCCUGCUGGCAAGCUUCAGAGUCUGCCAGUUCCCGAGUGGAAGUGGGAGCACAUCACGAUGGACUUCGUCGUUGGAUUGCCUAGAGCGCAGGGUGGCUACGACGCGAUUUGGGUGAUAGUGGACAGACUGACCAAUUCUGCUCACUUCCUACCGGUUCAGACUACCUGGUCCAGGGAGAGACUUGCGCAGCUAUACUUGGAUGAGAUCGUUAGGCUGCACGGCGUGCCAGUGUCGAUUGUAUCAGACAGAGACCCGAGGUUUGUAUCCCAGUUUUGGAGGAGUCUUCAGACCGCCUUGGGUACACAGCUACAUUUUAGCACGGCGUUUCACCCAUAGACAGAUGGUCAGUCAGAGCGGACCAUUCAGACUCUAGAGGACAUGCUGAGGGCAUGUGUCCUGGACUUUGGAGGAGGGUGGUAUCGAUAUUUGAGACUGGUUGAGUUUGCGUACAACAACAGCUAUCAAGCGAGCAUCCAGAUGGCUCCGUUUGAGGCGUUGUAUGGACGCAGAUGUCGAUCCCCCCUAUUUUGGAGUGAUGUGGGUGAGCGGAAGACACUUGGACCAGAGAUUCUACUUGAGGCUGAGGAAAAGGUGAGAGUCGUUCGACGACACCUUUUGACAGCACAGAGCCGACAGAGGAGCUACGCCGAUAUCAGGAGACGAGACUUAGAGUUUCAGGUUGGAGAUCAUGUUUUUCUCAAAGUCUCGCCGUCCAGAGGGAUACGCCGUUUUGGAGUACGUGGAAAGCUUAGUCCACGGUUUGUUGGCCCUUUCGAGGUAUUAGAGCGUAUCGGACCGGUGGCUUACAGGAUAGCUCUACCCCCGCGACUUGCUGGCAUCCACGAUGUUUUUCACGUCUCAGCAUUGAGGAGAUACGUUUUCGACCCCUCUCACGUGAUCGACUUCACUCCACUCGAGAUUGGCGAGGACCUGAGAUACGAGGAGCGACCCGUGCGGAUUCUUGCUCCCGAGACGAAAGAAUUGCGCAACCGGGUCAUCCCGUAUGUAAAGGUGCAGUGGAGCAACCACGAGGAGCAAGAGGCGACUUGGGAGCCAGAGACCGUGAUGAGGGAGUCUUACCCCGACCUGUUCGUUGCCCCGUCUUGAGGUAUGUUUUAAGUUUCGAGGACGAAACUUUUUGUAGUGGUGGAGAAUGUAGUAUCCUUAUACAUAUAUAUAUUUAUAUAUAUGUAUAUAUUGUAUGGAUGCCACGUUGCCUUUGCAUGCAUGGCAUACUUAUCCAUUUCCUUAAUUAAGAGAUGCACCCGCACCUCCUUAAUUAAUUUUCCUUCCUCUCUUUUUUCUUGAGCCGUACGCAAGGACGAGGAGAACCCGGUUGAAGUUUGGAGCAACGUCGACGUCGCGUCGCGGAGCCGUUCGAGCGCGCACGUGUUACCGUAGCAUCGCGAGGAGGCCGGGCGAGGGAGUGUUUUCAUCGUUCUCGACGCCGUGCCGGAAUUGGAGUCGCUGGUUGAGGUGGGUAAUCUCUCAUUCCUCCAUGGAUUUCUUCUCUACUUCAAGCUUCAUUCAAUUCGAGCUUAAGUGCUGAUUCGCAGGAUCUUGUCGUCGACUGUUAGUAUUUCAGCUCGUACGCGACGUAGGAGCAUCGGAUUUCGACGAGAUUUGGUUCGUUGGAACCGGGACUUCGAGACGAAUCCAUAGGAUCCUUACUCACCCAAUUUGGAAAAGGUUUGCUCUGUCGAAAUUCCUUUUUACUGAGUUGCUGUUUGCCGAGCAGACUCUGAAGUGCUGAUUGCUGAUUCCAGCAUCGACCCGCCGUGUUUUACCUAGUUCUCUNNNNNNNNNNNNNNNNNNNNNNNNNNNNNNNNNNNNNNNNNNNNNNNNNNNNNNNNNNNNNNNNNNNNNNNNNNNNNNNNNNNNNNNNNNNNNNNNNNNNNNNNNNNNNNNNNNNNNNNNNNNACGUUUUGUUGGCCCUUUCGAGGUAUUGGAGCGUAUCGGACCGGUGGCUUACAGGAUAGCUCUACCCCCGCGACUUGCUGGCAUCCAUGAUGUUUUUCACGUCUCAGCAUUGAGGAGAUACGUUUUCGAUCCCUCUCAUGUGAUUGACUUCACUCCACUUGAGAUUGGCGAGGAUCUAAGAUACGAGGAGCGACCGUUGCGGAUUCUUGCUUGGGAGACGAAAGAAUUGCGCAAUCGGGUCAUCCCGUAUGUGAAAGUGCAGUGGAAUAAUCAUGAUGAGCGGGAGGCGACUUGGGAGUCUGAGACGGUGAUGAGGGAGGCCUAUCCCUUUUUGUUUGAUGCCUGAGCAAAGGUAUGUUUGAGUUUCGAGGACGAAACUUAUUGUAGUGGGGGAGGAUGUAGUAUCCUUUAAAUAUACAUCCAUAUAUAUAUAUAUGGAUGCCACAUGCCCCAUGUAUAUACAUAUAUAUAUAGGUGGAUGCCACGUGCCCCCAUGCAUAGUUAUCCAUGCAUUUAAUUAAGGGAAGCAACCUAAACCUCUCUAAUUAGUUUUUCUUUCUCUCUUUCGUGUGGAGUGGAGAGCCGAAGCGGACGAGCCGCGUAGAGGUAGCCGCGAAGCUCGGAUUCGCCGUCGACGGCGUGCCGCGGAGUCGCUCGAGCUUAUUUUCGACGUCGUGUUGCUGCGAGGAGGCCGGGCGAGUGCGGCUUUUCGCCAUCCUUGAUGUCGUGCUGGUUCUAAGGUAUUUUUUUUUUUUGAAAUGCUUUAUCAGUGGGCAUUCCUCCAAUUACUUCAAUUCCAUCAAUUUCGAGCUCGGGUGCUACUGCUGCAGAUUUCUGCGUCGACUGUCGGUGUUUUGGCUCGUACGCGACGUAGGAGCAUCGGAUUUCGACGAGACUUGGUUCGUUGGAUUCGGGACUUCGAGAGGAAUCCACGAAGCCCUCACUUGCCAGAUUUGGUGAAGGUUAGCUUGGUCGAAUCUCAUUCCUACUCUACUGCUGCAAAUUCUGGACUGAAUCGGUAAUUGGUUGGUGUAGAGCUUGGAGUUAGCGCGAUUCUUGAGAUCGAAGUACUACGAUCGACCCAGCAGGUGGAGCCACAGCUGUGAGAGUGUUUCGCUGCCGGGGAUUUGCGUGCGAGGUGGGUUACAUCGGCUUUACUCCUAAGUUCUUAUUGGUCGACAUGUAUAGAUUUUGAUUUCGGUAAUUAAUGUUAGCUCAAAUUCAUGGAUUAAUUGUAGAUUGUGAAAUCUGAAUUUUGGAGCAUGUUUUAUAAAUUAAGUAGAUUAUACAUGUUGGACUUGAAAAUUGAAUUAGGAGAAAACCUGCGAUUUAGACCUGUCACCUGUAUAAACUGCCUGAUUUAGCUCUAGGAGCCGUUAGAAAAUUGUACUGUCGCAAUUUCUUCGAGACGAGUACUCCAGGUAGUCUAGAAUGUAUUUACACUCAUACUGGUUCGCCGAGUGGAUUUUUACAGGGUCGUUCAGGUUGUUUCGGACUGUUGGGUGCCGUCAGAGUUGACGGUGGACCCGUAUCGCCUUUUUGGCGUCAGACUGUGCCGAGGGCACGUUACCUGUUGGUUGUUAGAUCAGUUUGAGUCGAUUACUUGACUUUGGCUAGUUGGAGCCUGAUUGAGCUCGACAGAGAUACGCUGCAUACUCGGUUGGGUAGCGCCCACGAGUGCCACUCCGNNNNNNNNNNNNNNNNNNNNNNNNNNNNNNNNNNNNNNNNNNNNNNNNNNNNNNNNNNNNNNNNNNNNNNNNNNNNNNNNNNNNNNNNNNNNNNNNNNNNUGAGGAGGACCAGACCAAGCGCCUUGCAGUGUCAGGAGCGAGGUGUUAGUUAUCAUCGUAUCAUGGCGCGGUCGGUUAGGUAUGGCUCGUGUUGCAGCUUCAGGACGUCGACGGGAUCGUGGUUGUCCAGACGCCCGUACUGGGUGCUUAGGUUGACGUGGCCUGUGCUGGUUGUUGUGAGUCGUUGGACAUUUUGUACCAGGCCCUAGACGUGGAGAGCACGGACACUGUUACGGGGAUGGAGAUCUGGUACGUUGUUACGUUUACGAGCCGAUUGUUUCCUUACGCUACGUGGUCAUAGUUUUUCUCACGCUUGAGAUUACGGUCUUUAGUUUCACUAUGGACGGUGAUGAGCCAGCCGACGACAUCUCAGGAGAUGGUCUCGACGUAUCUGAGACGGUGAGCCUCGGACGACAGCGGCGAGUGGGACAGCGCCGUACCUGCUGGAUAGGAGGACCGCCGUUGAGCCACGACGAAACAUUCGGACGACUCCACGACCACCUCGACUUCGACUACUACCACGACCGCUACGACGAGCCCCUGUUCGACGGGAGUACACAGGGCCGACUGGUGUGGGCAUCGUGGCCGGGAGGGAGACGAGUGUGACAGACCCGGUCACACCAGGAGGCGUCUAGUGUGUGACGCCGCAGGAGAGACAGACAGGGGAGACUGCUCUCAGGGACCUAGCGACUGCGGGGCUCUUAGGUGCUGGGACACUUGCGCUAGCACCUCCGGAGCCGCCUGCGGACGAUGAGCUGACUGGAGGCAGCAGACCUCGACCCGCGAAGGACAGGACUGAGACAGGGCCGGGGACUCGAGAGAGGGCGUCGCUGUGGAGAGGAGAGAGGAGGGUAUUACGGACGAGUUACCUGCGUAGGUUUCAGGAGCUGGAGACGCGGGAUUGCUUGGACUUAUCCAGCCCAGAGUUUGGGACGAGCUUGUUUAUCUGGGAUACACGGAGUAGAGACCGGUGUUUGCCUUGUGUCAAGUCCUCAGAUCAUUUGAGGGCUUGUAUGAGGACUUGACAGGCGAGUGGGACGACCUAGGAGAAGUUUAGGAGGAGCUAGAAGACAAAGUACGACAACCUUUUUAUGUAGGGUAUGUCGUAAGGUGUCUUGAGUAGGGUGGAGUCGACGCGGCGGUUGUCAGGGACCAGGGCGGAGCGAGAGGCGGUGGUUAGUGCACGUAGUGGACUGUUUGUCACAUGAGGGUCACCAUGGACGAGGGGGACACCUUGCUUGUCUAGGAGUUUAUUGGAGAGGUAGCGUGACUGGGUAGGGAGUUGUUGGGUCCGGAGUCACGGCGACGGUAGCUUCUAGCCACCCAGUUUAGCGGCUUUUGCUCGAUUGGAGAGGCAGGUGGCGAGGACGAGCCGGAGUCAGUUGCCAUGGCCGGGGGAUCGUCCGCGUUGACCGCGAUGACCUUGACGACGGCUGCCUCCUUGACGACGUCGACCACGCCAGUGACCUCAUCAGCCCCCACCGUGACCGCUGAGACCAUGAGAGCCACGACUUGAGCCACCGACUCGAUAGGAGAGUGUGUUGGAGACGUUAUUGAGGGGGACGACGGAGCAGUGGAGUCAGUCCCGCCGGUUGACACGUGAGUCUAGUCCCCUACGCGGUCGGAGUCCAGCGCGUGAGCCGAGAUGUUGUCCCCCACGUGAGCGGAGGCCAGACAGUGAGACGAGGACGGCUCAUGAGACGAGGACGGCUCAUGAGACGAGGUAGACAAGUCCAGAGAGUCCUUCAGGGCGUGCUCCAAACAUAGUGUAAAGACCUCCUCAAACGUCUGUCGGAACCCAUGUGUCGACGUAAAAUCGUGCCGCAAGGUGGGUGUCUGUCUACCAGUCAGUCUCGCCUGGUAUGUCUGAGAUCUCCUGUACGACUCCCGUACGCAGGACCUAAAACCUCCUCCCACCAUAGCUGUACACUUUGACCAACUCAAACGCAUGUUGUUGUCGAUAGUUUAUUCGUAAGUCUACCGAGGCAAACUCCGCAACAUUACUUUUAGAGGCUGCAGGAGCACGCUGUUUGCCACCUGGAUAUCUUCGGCGAGGGCUCGACAGAUGCUGAGUAGCGGGUGUAUUGCUUUCUUAGCGACAGUCUCGCGACGCCCUUGCCUCGAUCCUGAUCCGCGGAAGGCGCAGCAGCCGAAACCUGUAGCUCUGCAAAACAGGGGUAACAACUGGGCGUGAGAACUACUAUAAAAACAAGUAGUCCUCAGUGGGUGCCGCCCAAAACAACAUCAGUCCACCCACUAAGUCUACAGAAGGGAGCAAGAAUAGUAGUAAAUGCAGGAAUAAAGUCUACUGCUAUCAAACACUAUACUAUCAUUCUCUACACUAACCAACUGUAAAAAUGUCCAAUCUGACCCAUGGCAUGCUUAUCCAUUUCCUUAAUUAAGAGAUGCACCCGCACCUCCUUAAUUAAUUUUCCUUCCUCUCUUUUCUCUGGAGCCGUACGCAAGGACGAGGAGAACCCGGUUGAAGCUUGGAGCAACGUCGACGUCGCGUCGCGGAGCCGUUCGAGCGCGCACGUGUUACCGUAGCAUCGCGAGGAGGCCGGGCGAGGGAGUGUUUUCGUCGUUCUCGACGCCGUGCCGGAAUUGGAGUCGCUGGUUGAGGUGGGUAAUCUCUCAUUCCUCCAUGGAUUUCUUCUCUACUUCAAGCUUCAUUCAAUUCGAGCUUAAGUGCUGAUUCGCAGGAUCUUGUCGUCGACUGUUAGUAUUUCAGCUCGUACGCGACGUAGGAGCAUCGGAUUUCGACGAGAUUUGGUUCGUUGGAACCGGGACUUCGAGACGAAUCCAUAGGAUCCUUACUCACCCGAUUUGGAAAAGGUUUGCUCUGUCGAAAUUCCUUUUUACUGAGUUGCUGUUUGCCGAGCAGACUCUGAAGUGCUGAUUGCUGAUUCCAGCAUCGACCCGCCGUGUUUUACCUAGUUCUCUGUGUAGGAGUGUCGAAACGUGACGAAAUUUGACGUGCUAGAUUCGCGACUUCGAGACGAAGAUUCUGAGCCCAAGAUCGCGAUUUUUGGAGCAGGUUUGCCCUGUCGAACCCUAGUUUUACUAGGCUGCUGUUUGCCGAGCAGAUUUCAGAGAUGCUGUUUCGCAGGUUCCAGCGUCGACGUUUCGUAUUCUGGCCCAUUCUCUGCGCAGGAGCGUCGGAAUUCAGCGAAACCUGGGCCAUUGGAUUCGUGACUUCGAGAUGAAGCUUCAGGACCCUUGUUUGCUGAAUUUGGAUAAGGUUAGCUUGGUUGGAUUUAACGCUUUCUUCGCUGCCAGGAGUUGCUUGAGAGGUAGGUUACAUCGGUUUUUACUCCUAAGUUCAUAUUCGUCGGCAUGUAUAAUUUUCGACCUUUGGAUACUCUAUUCUAGCUCGAAUUCAUGGAUUAUAUUGUAGAUUGCAAAUCUGAAUUUGGAGCAUGUGGUAAUAAAUUAAGUAGGUUAUACAUGUUGGACUUGGAAAUUGAAUUAGGAGAAAACCUGCGAUUUGGACCUGUCACUUGUUUAAACUGCCUGAUUUAGCUCUAGGAGCCGUUAUUAAAUUGUACUGUCGCAGUAUCUUCGAGACGAGUACUCCAGGUAGUUUAGAUUACAUUUACGCUCGUGCUGGUGCGCCGAGUGGAUUUUUACAGGAUCGUUCAGGUUGUUCCCGACUGGUGGGUGCCGUCAGAGUUGACGGUGGACCCGUAUCGCCUUUUUGGCGUCAGAUUGUGCCGAGGGCACAUUACCUGUUGGUGGUUAGACCAGUUUGAGUCGGUUACUUGACUUUGGCUUUUCCUAAUAGGCUAUAAUCAAAACAAAUGGGUCUAACUGGUCCUACAACUAAAACUUACGUGCCCUUCACACAAUCCGAUGCAAAAAUAGCAAACUGGGUCCACCGUCAACCGCGACGGCACCCGACAGUGCGGAAUAGUCUACAUACUACUGUAAAAUAAGCUCGGCAUUCCAGCACGAGCGUAAACUCAUCCUACACUAAUCUGGAUAUCCAUCGCAUACUAACAGUGACGAUACAAAAGAACCACAGCUCUUAAUGCUAAAUUUGGUAAUUUUCAGAAAGUGACAGUGUAGAAUCGAAAUGUUUUCUCCUAAGUCAAUUCCAAGUCCAAUAUGUAAAAUUAUACUACUAGCUUAACUCCAAAUUUAGAUGUUAACUCUAAUCCAUGAAUUUGAGUACUAGGAAGAAAACCCAAAGAUACAUGUCAAUGACAUAAAAACUUAGAUGGUAUUCCCGCGAUUUCGGUAAACUUCAACCCACCUCGAAAAGCUCGUCCAACUACGGCGAGAAGUCGAAAGGAGAGGAAAUCACGCGCUCGCCCGGCCUCCAACGACGCAACUGCGAGGUACGCACACUCGUACGACUCUCCGAAUCGACGUCGAAAUUUUUUCCGAGCUCGAGCCACUACCUCUACCAAGCAUACGACCAAAAACUAGAGAGAAAAAUGAGAAAAUUAUCCUCUCAAGUGGAUAGAUAUGAGGGGGAGUAGGUUGUGUGGAUAACCACCAACCAAAAUGACAAUACUACCCUUCACCAACUCAACAAGCUAGCUGGAGUAUCGAUAUCCGAUUUGGUUACUGGUACUCGGCCUCUCAGCCUGCAAGUUCUCACCCAGGGUACCGGUAUCAGCCCGAUACUGUACCGGUAUUGUACCGGUACUCAGCAUUAAAUUGGCACAAUCCGANGAAAGAGAGAGAGAGAGAGAGGAGGAGGAGGAGGAGGAGGCUUCUAUGUUUUCGAAAGUACAGAAGCCUUCGUGCUUGUAAGUUGUUUUUGAUAAUAAAAUAUUCGAUUUGAUGAUCGGUUUCGGUAGAUAUGAUCUACAGUGUUGGACCUAUUUAAAAAUCAAAUUUCAUAAUUUUUUUAUUUCGUUUGUCUAGUAAAUAAAUAAUCUCAAAAUGAACGGUUGAAAAUAAAAAUUUUAUAAAAAUAUUAAUAAAAGACUCAAAUUUCAAAUUGGGAGUAUUGAUCUUACUCUUAAUGUUAAGUAGAAUUUUUAUUAAAGGGUCAUGUAAUUUAGAUUGUUUUACAUCGUCAACUUACAAACGUAUCAUAUCGGCGGUUAAAAUAGUCAUUGUUGAAACUUUGAUCACUUGGUAAAUAAUAUCAAAAAGUUAUGAAAUUUUAUUUCUAAAUAAUAAUAAUAGCAUAAAUCAUGCAUAAUAGAACCGAUCGCCAAAUCGAAUGUUGUAUCAGCGUAAACAACUUACAAAUACGAAUGUCUCCGUACUUUUAAAAAAAGUUUUUAUAAGAACCUCUUUCUAAGUUUUUCCCUUAAUGUGAUUCUAAAAAAAUUAGCUUUCUAGGAAAGUAUUUUAUUUUAUUUUUCAAAUUUUAUAAAAAUUGGUAUUUUUAUUUUUUCAGAUUUUUUAGAAAAACAAAAAACACUAGUUUUCUAUAAAAUAUGAAAAAAGAUUUUUUCAGAAAAACUAACUUUUUUGGAACCUAAUGUGCCAAUAAUUGAAAAGAGAACUUUUUUUUUUAUGCUUUUCUGAAGAACCAAAGUACCAAACUGCCCAUAAUAUAUUUUUAUUAAUAGAUUACCAAUGAUAUCUUCUUAUCCGUGAUAAUCUACUAACAAAUGGUAAUGACAUGAAUAUUUUUUCGAUAGAAAAUAUAGAUGAUUAUCGAAAUAUUUCAAAUCGUAAACCAAAUAUACCCUUCAAAUAAAGUGAAAUAAAAUAAAAUAAAUGGAAACUCACUUGUAUUCUAAAUACUAAUGCAAAAAAAAUACGUGAGGCACGAAAAAAAUGUACGAUAAAAAAAUAUUUUCAUUAUUUUCAUAUAUAAUAUUAUAUUUUGCAUAUCGCAUGCAAUCAAUUUAUCAUAAUAUAUUUUUUAUGAUUCCAUCUGAAUACAUAAAAGCUUAUUUGCCAUUCCAUCUUUUUCUUUUUUUUAAAAAAAAAGAAUGCUAGUUGUACGAAAUAGAGGUCUAUAAUUUAUACUUUUUUAUUUUGGAAUUUAAUAAUUUUUUAAUAAUUAUUAGAAUAAAAAAGAAAUAAAAUAAGGAUCAAAAGUUGAGAAAUUUUAUACCCGCUUUUAGCGUGUGCCAUUGCGUGUUUUACUUUUAUUUUUUAUUUUUUUCUUUUUUGGGUUGCGUGAAGCACAUUGUAGUUGCGAUAAUAUUGGUGGGCCCAUUUUGUUCGGUUGGAUCCAGCUGGCCCUAUCCGCACUCCACGGCCGUCCGAUUUAAUUUUUUUUUAUUUUUUAAAGAAAUACCACCUGAUGGUACUCUACUGCAGCCCCCAGACCUCACCCAACAUUGAAAAUUUACAGUAUCACACUUAUAUUGUAUCAUCGUUAGUAAUAAAUUAAUUAUAUUUUUAUUUUUGAAAGAAUAAAUAGAAUACAAAUAUUUUUUUUCUUAACUAUGAUACAUAGGAUACCACGCCGGUAAUAUAACCGGUGCAUUUUAAAAUAUUUUUCGAAGCAAUGAGGUGGAACACUUAUACCACGUCAUUAAUAAUAAUCAACUAAUUAUAUCUUUCUGUUUCAGAGUAAAAGUAUAAUAAAAAUAUUUUUCUAUUAACUAUGAUGGAAAGGGUAAAGUUAAGAGAUUAAUGUGAUUGGUUGUGAAUGCGACGUCAGUAAUAUAACUGUUACAUUCUAAACUUUUUCUCACCCGAUCUCUGCGGACCCCACCGCCCCAUGAUCCCUGUAAUGAUUCUGAUGAAUGACAGCUAGACACGUGUAAAAUUGUAAAUGGGGGGCAUUAAAACUGUUUAAGAAAAAAAAAAAGAAAUUCUCUUUAUACAAACCCAAAAAUAGAAAUUAGAUCUUACAUCCCUUAUUUUAAAAUUUAUAAAAAUUACAUAAUUUUUAGUAAAAAUAUAAAAAUUAAUGUGAUAAGUAAAAAAAUUAAUGACUCUUAAAUAAAGUGGGUAUAAGAUGUAUAUCUUAGAACCUCUUAUCCAGACUGUAUGGGCACAAGUGAAAUUUUCAUUAUUUUAUUUUAUUUUAUUUUAUUUUAUGACAGUUUAAUUCAAAUUCUAACAGCAUACCCCUUCAUUGUACAAUGUUUUUUUACCACAAUAAUUUUUAGGGGCAAUUGCCUAUAUAUCUUUGAAAAGUUUUCGAUUUUUUUAUUUACCUCUAUUAGAAAGCUAAUAUUGAAAAUACCCUUCUUGUGUUCUAAGUUCUUUCUAAUAUAUCCCUAGAGUUAAAUUCCGUUAGUGAGGUGUUAACAAUUAUCGUUAUCUCUAAAAAUUACCAUUUUGCCCAUUCCAAUAUUCCCUUAUACCGUAACUAACUUUUCUUACAUAUCCUUCAUCUAGUAAAUACUUUUCUUAUUUGCACUUCAAAUAUCAAUUAAUUAAUUAAGCACGUGGGAGCGAGUAGAUGAACGGAUAAGAUCGAUCACAGCUAAACCAACCUUGGUGGCUGGAGGCAUAGUUAGUUAAUUCGGAUUCGGCGAAAAUUCGGUACGGAUAUAAUUCAGAUAAAAUUCGUCUUUUAAUUUUUAAAUUCUUUGAAAAAUACGGUUAAAAAACGGAUUCGGCAAUUAUUCGGAUACGUGAUUUAUACGGGUAUUAUAUGUUCACCAAUUAAAAAUUCGAGAUAAAAAAUUCGGCUAUAUAAUAAAUAUAUAAUAAUUAUUAUACUAUAUAUAUUAUUAUUAUAAUUUUUAUAUAUAGAUUAAAUAUAUUUAAAAUUAUAAUAAAUAUAUAUUAAUAAGAAUUGGGCUCUUAUGCUUUUAAAAGUACCAAAUCAUUGGUGCUUGUAAAUUUUUGGCCCUUGAAUUAAAGCAUAUGCGAUCACUAGGCAAAUGAUAUCGAAAAAUAAUAAAAUUGAGUGGGUGCUAGGUACUCCAAAUAAAAUUUAUUUUCUAGGUACUCCAAAUACUCUAGAUUAAGUUUAACGGAGCCGAUCGACGAUUCGAAAGACACAACAUCGAAAACAAGCUAGAAGCACGGAAGGCUCCGUGCUUCCGAUAGCAUCGUAGCCUCACUCUCUCUCUCUCUCUCUCUCUCUAUAUAUAUAUAUAUAUAUAUAUAUAUAUAUAUAUAUAAUGAGAGGGAGGUCCACAGGGAGGUCCACCGUGGACCUCCCUCUCCGGUCCACGAGGCCAAACUAGCCUCGUGGACCGCGCAUAAUCUCUGCUCCCCUCCGCGAGCAACACCGCGCCCUCUUGCUCCCGGCACGCGGACGGCCUCGGGCGGACGGCAUGUGGACGGCCUCAGGCGAGAUUGGGUCGUCGCUGCGGCNCUCCGCCUGCUCCUCCGCCUUCUCCUCCUUCCUCCUCGGCAGCGGCCUCGCCUCCCCCUCCCUCUUCAACGGCUCCUGCGACCUCUCCUCCUCCUCCUCCUCCACCGGCGGCGGCGGAGACCUCGCCGCGGGGGCGCGGCCGUGCCAGUACGCGUCGCUCUCGGAGCUCCGGGCCGCCGCGCCCGCGGCGCUCGACAACGCCACCGCGCUAUGCACUGGCCCCUCCGCCUCCCCCGACCUCAUUGCCGACCAGGCCGGGUGCGCCGCGUGCCAGAGCGCCGUGAUCGGCCUCGCCUUUGCCCUCCUCGGUGCCGCCGGCCCAAUCGCCGAGCUCGUCCCCUGAGGCAUGGCCGCCACCAUCGAGGUCCGGUCCCGCUCCCGGCCCUUCCUCCCCCGCUUCCGCUCCUACGCCCUCUGCAUGGUCCAGGUCCUCGAGAACGUCAACGCCCUCGGCGGAGGAGGAGGAGGACGACGACAAGAGCGGAGGCGACGGCGCUAGGCUUGAGGGUAAUGAGGCCAAGUUGGGAGAGAAAGAGAGGAUAAUUUAAGAAAAUAGUUUAAUAAGGUAGGGGCAAAAUAGAUAUUUUAAUUAGGUUUUAACUCUGGUAUAUAUUUAACCCAUAUUUAACCCGAAUUAGUUUAACAGGGAAUAACUGCAGGUGUAUUUUGGAAUAACGGUGGAACAUAUGAGUGGUAUUUUAGAAAGAAAAAAAAAAUAGGAAUAAAUCAGAUAUUUUCAAACGUAUGAGAGAUAUAUAGGCAAUUAUCCCUAAUUUUUAAAAGAGUUUUUAAUUUUUAAAAGAGCUUAGUCGUUAUAGUACGAUGUAUUUAAUUAGUAAGAUACAAAUAUAAAUUUUACACCUUAAAAUUUCUUCGCUUGUUAUAUAUUUAUGAGAGAGAGAGAGAGAGAGAGAGUAGGGCUAUUAUACUCUUACGAUUUUAGAACCCUUCGUACUCAUAAAUUGUUUUAGAUGAUGGAGUUUCCGAUUUGGCGAUCCACUCAAUUAAAUAUGAUCUAAAAUAUUUGAAACUUCUAAAACUAAAUUUCGUAAUGUUUCGAAAUCAUAAUAAAAUCUAUCAAGCGGGCAUAAAAAAAAGGUCAAAAUCGAACGACGUUCUAAAAAAGGAUAAUCGGAUUCUUCAAUUUAAGAUCAGAGUUAUUGAUCUUUAUCUAAGUAAUGAGUAGAAGUCUCUAUCAAAAAUUCAAUCUAUUCCAAUUCUUUUACACCGUUAAACUAGCAAGAAUCUUAUAGUGGCCAUUAAAAAUUGUCAAUUUUGUGAUCAUUUGUUCGUAAAGUAAAUGGUAUCGAAAAAUUAUGAAAUUUAAUUUUCAGAAGUUUUAAAUACUCUAAAUAAUAUUUAACGGUAUAGAUCGCCGAUUUGGAAGCUUUAUCAUAAAAAACGACUUAUGAGUAUGUAUGAAGGCGAUCGUCUUUAUAAAAGAAUAGUAAUCCAACUAUAUAUAUAUAUAUAUAUAUAUAUAUAUAUAUAUAUAUAUACAAAUAAAAAAUUUUUUCUUUUGCGGUGGGCCCCGCAUGGGGCUACACAUGGCAGCCACGUGGCUUGCGACCUGCAACCCUUUACUUUUUCUUUUCUUUUUUUUCUUUUUUUUUUUUGUGCUUAACUAUAAAAACACUUCCUGCAUUUUACCACGUUGAGAUGCCUCCUCUAUGAACAAAUCUGAUCGGAGGUGGUUCAUAAUUCUCCCCGUACAAUCCGAUCGGUCGGAUUUGGCAAUCCGCUCGGAAAUUAAUUCUCGAUCGAUCGCAUCACUCGUGACGAUUUUACAAUCAAAUUCGAUCAGUCGGAUUUGGUGAUUCGCCCCAGGUCGAAUUCGGCAUUCCGAAUCGGUUUUGAACCUGAGAGUUCGGGGUUUUACAUAUGAGAUCGUGCAUAUCCCUAAGUAAAACUUUUUGAGCGAAUCUUUUGAAGAGUUUUACGAGAGAAAAAUUAGGGUUUUGAGAGAGCCAUACAAAGAGGAGAGAAGAAUACAGGUUGUAGUGUUCCGAUCUAGAAGAGGAGAAUGGAGAACAUUGAUUGGAGUGGCUCGUUCAAAACGGUGUUAAGGAGUUCUUCGAUAGAAAAGUUUUUUUUUCUUGUAUUAAAGGUGAUAUCUUUGGGGCAGUGUCGGAGAAGAUAUUGUACUCUUAACUACUGCAAAAAUCUUUAUGAUUCAAUCGAGGAGGCAACUGAUAGACCCGCCAAGAUAUCAGAUAAAGAAUGUGAGAAAUUAUAUCGCAAAAUCGUUGAAAUUAUUAGAUAGCGGAUUACACGAUAGCAUUUUCCACCAUGUUUCGAUGGCGGUAAAUUAAAGCCCUAAGACUUUGGCUGAAACUGAAAAAAGAGUUUAAACGAGGGAAAGACGGCAUAGAAUAAAGUGUUCUUCAUCCACAAAUCGGCGAACUCGAAAUAUAAGGAGGGGACUUCCACGGCGAAGCCUCUAAGUAACUUUCAGAAUGUUGUGAACCAGGUAGACAAGAUGAAGAUGGUGUUGUUAGAUGAGGAACGGUCGAGAUGGGGGACGACUGAGAAUCGAAGAUCAUAGACCUGGGAGAUAUUGUGCUUAUCACAAGUUUGAGGUACGUACGAACUGGUGCUAAAGAAUAUAUUGUUCGACACGCCGCAGAUAUUCACUUACAACUAUUGUCGACAGGGUGCUAGAACAAAAAGGUUACUGCAGUGUGUUCGGCGAUGGCCAGUGGAAGCUAACCAACAAAUCAAUAGAAGCAGCCAGAGGUGCCAAGCAUUGGCUCUUUCUACUUAAUAUAGGGAAAGCUCAGCAAGUGGGGAGGUGAAAGAAGCAGGGAAACUACGCACCUCAAAGCUAUGGCAUCGACAAUUAGGACAUAUAAGCCAAAAAAAAGUAUGUCAAUUUUGGCUAAUAUAAUACUUUUUCUACUGAUAGUUGUGGAGCGAAAAGGUGUGACAGUUUGCAAUCCUUUGGGAGGAAUGUUGCCGUAAGAUUGACAGCCGCAGUUAAAUGAAUAAACUCACCAAACUUUCAGCUACAUGAUGAGCAAUCUGGCUUGAAAGAAAUAGUGUUAUUUUUAGGGGACGAGGCUCAAGCCCAACUCAAGUUCUUCGCCGUAUACAUUCAUUCCAACAGGAUUGGUUAGAACAAUGCCGUUAAUUAUAUACUCGUUGCUUAAUCCUUCUCCCUAUUCUUUCAUCCAUUUCCCCCUCUAUCUCUUUUCAUUUUUUGAUGUUUUGUUUUCUCCUUUCUUGAGGUCUUGACUGCCUUCUUUAUAUUGUCAAGUUCAUACCACUUUAUGAAUGAAGCGAAUAGCUUGCUAUCUUUUUUUUUAAAAAAAAAAAGAAAAAGAAAAAGGAAAAGGUGUGACAGUUAGUUAUCUUAUGGGUAAGCAACGAAUUUCAUUUUAGACCUUUUUUCCCCAAAAAAGAACUGGUGCUUAGAUCUUAUUCAUAAUAAUAUAUGUCAUAUGAUUGAUAAGAAGACUCUUUUAGAGUAUGUUCUUGUUUCAUAACUUUCAGUAAUAAUUAAUCACCCUCUUUUAAAAGUUUGGACAUAUGGUUUAAAAUCAAAAGAGCAGGUGCUCACGUGUUCAAGCAGUUUCACAUCUCUGCUGAGAAGGGGACUAGGAAAAAGAGCAUAUGGGCGGAUAACAGGGGUAAAUAUAGAGAGGUUCUUUUGAGAAGUAGUGUCAACAAAAGUAGUAUUAGACUGGAGAAAACAGUGCCUGAAAGAACACAAAGAACUGGGGUUGCUGAGAGGAUGAACUUGACGAUCUGCGAGAAGAUCAAGAGUUUUCGGAUUCGAGGUUAAGGGUCGAAUGAUGAUUAGAUCUGGAUAAUUACUUUUUGUCUGUGUGUUUCUGUUCUUUUGUAUAUAUAUAUUUUGUAUGUAUAUCUUCGUGACAGUAAUCGGCUGAUUCAACCGUCCUAGUUUUUUGUUUCGAGGUUAAGGGUCAAAUAGUAGUUAGAUCUUGGUGUAAUUAUUUUUGUCUAUGUGUUUCUGUUCUUUAAUCUUUUUAAUUUAAAUUUUUAUUAGCCUAAUUUUUAGGUUGAGAGUCAAACUGAUUCAAGAUUUAUUAACUUAAUUUUAUUGUUGCUUAGGUUUAUAUAUGAGUCUCGAUCUAUCAAAGAUUUACAACAUCUUUGAUAGAUGUAAGUGAGAACACACAAACAUUUUUUGAUCCAAAAAACUUCAAAAUGAUUCAAGUCUGAAUUAAACCCAAACAGCAAGCUAUAUCUUACCAGUAUCCCUUAUGCGUCUUGACACAUUUAUAAAUCUGCAAAAUAUGGGUCGUCCAACCACGUAGCUGACAUAUAUUAGGUGUGUAACAGACGACACAUAUCUGGUACAGACAGAGCAUUUAAAAAUGAAGCAUCUGUGGCUCUGCGCAUCAUAGAAUGAACUCUCAAUACAUCAAUUUGUAAUUACAUUGUACCAUUGUGACCGUACGCAUUAGUUGAUACUACGUCCUGUUCAAUUGAAUGCUAAGAACAAUUAAUUGGAAGCAAUAGAUCUUUCAGAUUUAUGAAGGUACCACACUAGAAGAUGGCAACAGUUGGUAGAAAUUAUUGGACUCUUUCCCAGAAUAGCUACACACAUAAUUCCUACAUAUCUGAACAGCAUAACUACAGAUUGUAACAAUUUAUUGAUCAUUGAAGUCUCAACUAACAUUUAGAUGGAUCAUGUAGUGCACUACUCUUUCUCAACUGCCGAUUGUGCUGUUGCCUACUCGAUAUCUUGUUAAAUCUUAAAUGGGCUCAAUAGAGGAUUGCAGAGGAAAACAAUUGCUUACUAAAUCCAAUGAAGAAAUGUAAUUAGCAAAGCACUGUAAGUGACUACCGCAAACGAAAAUAAUGAUUGUUAAAUAAAAAAAAAAAAAAAAAUCAAGUACAAUUGGCAGAGAGGAGAAUUACACAGUACCUGCUUAAUCGAGUUGGUUGAGUGGUGGGGUUGAAUUGGGGAAAGUGCUGCCCCACAAUGAAAAAUGUAGCUCAGAGGAGGGGCAAAAAAAUUUAAUGUGUGCUAAUGAUAGUUAGGUACUAACAACAGUCAGUUAACUACCGGUAAGCAAACUAUAGUAGAGAUAAACGUGCGGAAACAGAACCUUGAGGAAUAGUCGUGCAAAUAAUAACUUUAAUGGGUUUGACGAAUAUACAUACUUGAUGUGUAUGUUUGAAAAAUCUCAGGACAAAACAAGCCAAUGAUCAACAAAUAAGGAAGAAUUAAUGCCUAUGAUGCCCCUACUACAGUUCUAAUAUCGGAAUGGUGUUAUGAUCAUCCCAAUUCUUAUUUGGUUUUUCUAUUGGGUUUGGUAAUCAUAUUAGAACUAUUGUUUUGAUUCUGGGCCUAUAAAUAAGAGGCUCCCCUCUUUUACAAUCAAUGGUCAUUUAUUUUAACGAAAAAGAGUUAUUCUUAUUGACUUCUAGUAUAGGCUAAGUUAUAAGAGAAAGCCCCCUCUUCUACUUGGAGCAAAAGGGCGUUCGAUAGAAAUCCAAACAACUUAGUAUUUGAGCUAUAGUUAGGAGUAGAAGAUCCUAAAAGAUGGAUGAUUAAUAGGCAACUUUAAGAGGCUAAAGUGUUAUAGUAACAGAAGCGGAACUAUGUUAGUGAUGAAAAGAUUUAAUAGAGCAGAAUAAAAUUCUACCUUAAGCAACUUGGCAACUAUUCAACUCUUGUAUAUUAAAAUGGUAUCCAAGGUUGCAAUUCCAAUUUCACAAAUAAAAGUUCAUUUCAGUGAAGUUCGAAUUUUUAUUCUUCUGGCAGUUUCAAAUUCAUUUUCAGUCAUUUCAUCUAAAGUAAUUUUGCAAAUAUAAAAAAUAUGCAAAUAUACGGAUCAAACUUCAACAUAUUUGGAGAUAACAGUUUCUUCUUACCGCAAAAACUAUGAACUUAGAAGUGAAGAGCAAUUUGAAGAAAUGACCUUAAAUCUAAAUUUGGAUAUAAUAAUUUUACUCCUUUUUGGGCUAAAAUUUUGGAAAUUACGGAACUGUUUUUUUUUUUUUUUUUGAGAGAGAGAAAGGUAGCAUGCUACCCGCUUCGUUUAUUUUAUUUAGAAAUAAACUUAGCUGGAAAUGUGAAUCAACUAGGAUUCGAACUUGGAAAUUACGGAACUGUUAUAACACAUUACAGUUAGAUAAUCAAAUGAGCAUAAUAAUUCAUCUAAAUAGCAAAAUUAUAUUUGUCAGCUAAACAUUAAUGACAAGUAUUCAAUGUGGAAAUUUGUAAGCUAGGAUUUAAAAAAAAAAAAAAAAGUUUGUAGAUCUACAUCAAUUUGUGUAGAUCUACAUAAAUCAAUGGCAGCCAUGGAACUUAAAAGAAAAAGGAAGAAGAUUAAUUGACUUGUUAGACUAUGCUGAAUAUGCAGAGAUUUUUCAAACCAUAAAACCAAACUCUCAGUGUUUCAAAAGGCUUUAUCUGAUAAGUUCUCCACAUUGUAUACUAACUGCAUACCGCUAAAGUGUUCCAUAUAGAGGUGUCAACGAGCCGAACACGAGCGAGCUAGGGCCGGCUCAUGUUUAGCUUGUUUAUGAAACGAGCCAAUCUCGAGCUAGCUCAUUAAAGUAUCGAGCCUAAAAACUCAGCUCGUUUAUUAACGAACCGAACACGAGCUAGCUCAUGGACAACUAGUUAAAAGAUUAGAAAGAAUAUAUAUAGGAUAUAAAUUUUCGAGAUCUUAUCCAUUAGACUUUGAUCUAAUUGUUGAAAUUUUAUACAUAAAUGGACCUUUUUAUAAUUGAGUUGGGCAUUAUAUUUAGGUUGGGAUAAAAAUUAAAUAAUAAAAAUCUGUAUUUUAUAUAUAUAUAUAUAUAUAUAUAUGUAUUCGAACUGUUGUCGAGCCAAACACCAGUGAGCUGACCCUAGCUCGUGUUCGGCUCGUUUAUAAGCAAGCUAAAAAAUUCAGCUCGUAUUCGACUCGUUUACUAAACGAGCGAUUUGAUCUCGAGCUCAUUUCGAGCCAAACACGAGAUGGCUCCCGAACAGUGAGCUGGAUUGCCACCCCUAGUUCCAUAUCACAAAUGAACUGGCAAACUAUUAGAAAUAAUUUAUUACCUGCCAACAAAUUAAGUACUAUAGAGCAAAAAGUUGCUGACAUCUUACAUAAGUGUGAGCAAACUCCUAUUAACAAAGCAAGUAGUAACCAAAAUAUGCCAAAAAUUUGUAAACCAAGAUAUGUCUUCCUCUAUAAAAAAAGGUAGUGAAUCUUCUCACGUCAAACCAAGACAACAGACGGUUGAGCAACAUUGCAUCCUUCAUUUGAUAGAGUACAGCUAAACGAUUGAAAGAUAAUCACUUUGUCCAUGCAUCUUUCAAAGGUGUUUCCUAUAUAUUUGAUAAUGAUAUUACAUGUUAGUUGAUUACAUCAAUAAUAUGUUUAAUUGAAAUUCCAGAUGCCAUUCAAGGAAUAACGAUUGGUGGCCUAGUUUAGCAGUCCAUAGACGUCAUAACGCACUUUUUAAAUUACCUCAUCCUAAUUACCAACUAAACAUCUAUACAAGGAUUUGUGUUUCAUAACUGGAGAAGCUCGGUUCAUUUACCAGAUUAUGAAGAGAAGCAAAUCCAUAAUGGCCACCAAGGAGAAAAAUGGCCUCAGUAAUUGUUUGCUUAUCCUUAUGAACCUGAUGUAUACGUGUAGCGUGUCUGAGCUCCAACUAUUAGCUCUACAACCUUAGCUGCAUGAGGAAUGAAGCAAGAGUAAACCACCAUGUACUUAUAUUUUAACUCAAAGCAAUAAAAAACAACAAUAAAAGUAGUAACUAAAUGUAAAGGGUCAAGCAGAGCGAAAGCCAUACGCACCAGUGAGAAAGCCAAAUAAUGGAACUGGGCUCAAAUAUCUAUCAGCCUUUUCAAGAUGAUGCCUGAGAAUACAACAUGUUAAGAGUAAGAACAAAAACUAAUAAACAAAAGCUGUAGUAUAGAUAAGAAGAUGUGUAUAAUUACUUGGUAUACUUGGUGAAGAAUGGGUCUCUCAUGAUAUAAAGCGCCCAUAUCAGCUUUCUUCUUUUUAACUGGGACAUGCCAUAUAAUACCCAUAAUCAGCACUUCACACAAGAAGUAAAAAAAAAAGAAUCCAUCUUAAGGAAUUUAAGUGCACUUGCCUCAUCUUUUUCAGAGGUAGAGAGCUGAUAAAAUUUCACUCCGACUCUGUGAGGUCGACUAGCAGCAUGCAAUAGGAUGCUCAUACUACUGAGAUCUACAGCCAGUGACACUAACCAAGGUUUCCACGAUCUAAUCCCGUAUUUUCUUAUGAACAUCACAUAUAUAAGCGGUCUCAAGAUAGAGAGAAUCUCCCCAACAAAAAAUAAACGGCCCGAAAGCCCUUUCUCUGACCAAAUACUUGACAGCGUAGGUUUUUCUACCACCAAAGCUGAAGAAAAAUCGACAAUACAUAAAGAACUUGUGAAUUUUCAACAACACAAAGUACAAUACAGCUCAACAAUCAUAGAACUGAUUAAAAUAGGUUAAAACGUACAGAGACUACGAACUAUAGACCCGUUUGAAAUGGGUACCAGAAUCUCAAACAUACUGAUUUCAAUCACCUAACCUUUCAGUAUCUCCAAUUUCAGUGCCUCUCAGUCAUAAGAUAAUGAUAUUGUGAUUCUUUUCAAAUUAGCAGAAUUUUACAUUACUUGAUGGGAUAUUCUAUAACUAUUUCCUGACGAAACUGUUUAGUUCUGAUAAAACUUGAUUGAGAGGAACUGAAAUAAAGCAUAAGGGAAAGUUAGGUACUAAAUUCAUAAUUUAAAAUUUAGAUACUCACUUCAAAAUGCAGUAUAGUUCAGCUAGUCUUUGCAGGUUUUUCACCUCUAAAAUAUUACCAGGAGGCUCAAAAGGAUGUCGAAGUCUAUUCAACAACAUCGGGUCCAACGCCAUUUUAGCAUUCUCGCCAAACCUGCUCAGUGCAGACAUAGCUCUCCCCUCCAGAUUCUUCGGCACAAUCCCAUUAUGAUUUUUUGAAUACCCAUUUUGAUGACCAUUCCUCACAUAGCCACCAGGCCAUCCAUUAGCCCUCAUACCACCACCAUAGUCUUCGGGAACAUCUAAUAUCUUCUCCUCAUUCACCACCUCCCCUCCUUGUAGAAGCAUCCUGUACCCGCUAUCGCGGAAAGCAGCUAAUCUCACCAGUGCCCUGAAUUGCAAACAACCCCAAGUUGCCGUGUCACAAGCAAGACAAAAAAAAAAAAAAAAAAAAAAAAAAAGAACCGACGGAGCAUGUUCUACAUGCUUGUUUACCCCUACUUGUACUUCUACUUUCAGCUGCAGCCACUGAUAGCCUCUAUCAUAACAAGAAGAUGAAAUGAAAUUCUCACCUCCAAAAUGAGCGGACGAGGGGGUCUUAUAUAUAGUGCCUCCCCCUGGCAGCACUACUCGAACAGCACUUCCAUCAAACAACAAUUCAUUAUAUAACAUAACCUAAGCUCUUGCCGGGCCCAGCUUCUCAAACAGCUUUUCUGCUCGCUUUCGAUUGCGACAGCAAGCUCAAACUGAGCUUCUAGCGUCAAAAAGCAGAAAGUCUAAUUUGAAGCUUCUGAUUCAAGCUAAGGCAGAAGCUGACAGAAACUUCUUUGUGUGUCAGAUCAACAGCAAGGACAGACAGGCUGACAGACAGCCAGCCCCUAACUAACUUGAAGAUUAAUUCAUGAGGCAAGGGGUCUUACUUCACUCCCUCGGCGACGGCGAGGAAGUUCCACUUCCCCUUCUCCCCGAACAAAUGCUGAGCACCAACUUCAACCACGGUCUCCGCAUCUUUGAGAAUCGACACGAACAAAGACCACGGAAAACCCGACUUCUCGGGCUUCACCGGAAACCCCCGCCCGGGAGGCGGCGCCGUGUCAAUUAUAUGCUGGUUCACGGUUCCGACUAUGCCCAAAACCGCAUAAACUGCACCCCCCCCCCAAAAAAAAAAGAGAAAAAAAAAAGAAGAAAAAUCCAAUACAUAGCCCUCAAAAAACCACAAUUCCCACAAAAUUAUCAUUUACGAAUCUACGCGGAAAAGGUAAAUGUUACCGAAAUUUCACAGAACCUGCUUCGGGGCCGAUCUCGGAGUUGGAGAAGCGCUCGGGGAGGAGCCAAGUGAUGCCCUAAUCGAUCGAAUUCGACGAGAUUAGGAUCGGAUCGGAUCGGAUCGGAUCGGAUCGGAUCGAACCGUGCGAUUUGAGGAGAAAUUCCUAUGAGAAAGGAAAACAAAAAUCAAAAAUCGGGGGCUUACGUUGGCUAGGGAUUCGAGGGAGCGGACGAACUCCCGGUUCGUCCGCACCCAAAGCUUGUAGGCGUCCAUGGCGUUCUUCGUCGUCUUCUUCCUUCUCCUCCUAAUCCGAUUCUAGUCGCCUCCCCCAGGACAUGUAUAUAUGAUUUUUUAUUUGUUUUUUUUUUUUUUUUUUNUUUUUUUUUUUUUUUUUUUUUUUUUUGUUAACGCCGUGGGAAUAUGAGUUGGUCGGAAAGGGCAAACGCCGUUGGGAAUCUUGGGAUCAAGUUCGUGUACCGCGUCCAUGAAAGUGUACAGCUGGGAUUAAAAAUAGAGUUUUAUAAAUUUACUAAAAAUUAUAAUUUUUUAAUAUGCUUUUACUAAUAGCCCAAUUUUAAAAGUAGGAAAAGGCGCGGUGCGUGUAAUUUUUUAAUCAUAAAAUUAUCUCCAUAUUUGCACAGUAUUAGUAAAAAAAACUUUACAAGACACAUGGCGUAUAAUGCUGCGCGUUUCUUAAAGCGAUCCAACGAUUAAAAAGUCCUAAACAUGAAUGCUUCUAUGCUUUUAAAAGUGAAGGAGCUCGACUUUUAACUUUUGAUAUCUCUUCAAAAUUAUCAAUACUAUUUUUAAUACUAUAAAUUAAUAAUUUAUAUAAAAAAUAUCCUCCAUCAGGUGGAUUAUUGUGUACCUAGUUGCAUGUAAUUGUAAAUAGGGAUAAUAGCUUAUAUGUUUUUCAAAACUUAAAAAUUAUCUUAUUUAUUUUUUGAGAAUCAAGAUAUUCUUGUUGAUUUUAAAAAAUUUCGUGAAACAACCGUUGUACUCAAGCUUAAGCUGGCCUGGGCUCGAGACUUUUUAAUCGGCCUAUGACGUGGGCUUGAAUUAAAUGGGAGAAAAUUAAUAUGCUAGGAACCUAGCGUGACUCGAACUCAGGACCUCCUGCUCUGAUACCAUGUGAAACAACCGUUGUACUCUAAAAGCUUAAGCUUUUAGAUAACGGUAUUUUAAACAUUUUUAUAUUUUUUACAAAUUUCUUCAAAUAUUCUCAUUUUUCCUAGGGUUUCCUAAUGGGAUUAGAUUCUGUAAAAGUAUUUUGAUAAUUUUGAAUAAAUUUAAAAUUUUUGAAUAAUUGUAAGUGGUAAAUAAGCAAAAUCUCAUAUAAAUAAUAGCGUGGUACUAUGUGAAGGUAAUCAAUUUAUUUCCUAUUCAAAAAUUACUCUGAUUUUUAUGUAUGAUUCAAUUACAUGAAUAUCUUUUUUGUCUACUUAAAUUUAUUUAUUUUUAUUUAAUAUCAUAUGAGUCUCAUGUUGAUCUUAGUUAAUAAUUAAUUCUAAAGUUAGACUAUACUUUUCUUUGUGAAUUUAUUUUCUACUUUCUCUAAAUUAGCAUGAUUUUUUUGUUUAGUAUUCGUAUAGUUUAGUAAUUAAUUAGUUUUAUUUUAGUAUAAAUUCAUCUAUAUUAUUUCCUUUAAGCUGAUUAAAAAGGCAUAAAUAACUGAUUAUGGGCCAAAAAGAAAAGUUUAGUUUUUAGACAGAUUAUAUGAGUAUUUCUGAUAAUUUUGAAGAUUAGAAGAAUAUUUUUGAUAUUAACACUUUUAGAUGGAUUUUAUGUAAUUAAGGUUGUGCACGUGAAAUUAUCCUUUUAAUAUAUGUAUUGAGUAAAAAAAGAAAUGAACGGUGCAUAUCUAUAAUCUAUAAAUCUAUAAUCUAUCUACAAACAUAUAUUAUUUCCCAAUAAUUUUGCUGACGUGGCGCAACAUUCUUGCUUUGAGAAUUUUUUUUUCUCAUUUAGAUAGCUUGCUUACCCUCUCUCUCUAUGUAACUCCCAUGUCCCCCGUCUUCUCUUUCCCUUCCUGUGUCACUUCGUUUUCCUCCUCUUUAUAACUCCUCAUUCUUUUCCACAGCCACCAUAUUCUCUUUUUCUCUCUAUAUAACUCCUAUGUCCUUCCUUCUUCCCUUCUUCUCCCCGCGUCCCUCCGUCUUCCCCCUGCCAUGACUCUCCAUUCUUCUCUAACCACUACGAGUCUUUGCAAAAGAGAUACUACACAUCAUUUUUAAUCCAAAUCCUUACAAUGUUCAAUCGAACGAUUGAUAUAAACCGAUCAUUUCCUCAUCAAUAUAUCCAAUGGUCGAGAUCAUACGAGAUUUGUUGGCACUUUUUCCACACGCUCUCUAUAAACCCUCUCUACUUUAUCUCUCACACUCCUUUUAGGAUUUCUGCCUCUUUUGUACCCUGAAGCUAUACUCAAAGCGGCAUCAUAGAAUGAUCCCCUUCGGGAUCAACAGAGCCCUUUAGCCGAAGAGGGACUUUAUUUGCUUCGUGAAGUGGCCGAAGGUGGUGCGGAUCCAGUGGCAGAGUAGGAUUCUCAUGCAGAGGUUGAAGGCGCUCCCCACUUUGAACCAAUUCAUCAAGACCCUUGAUAAGAACCUUGCUAAACUACUAAUAUUCUUUUUUUUUGUUUUAGAGAUUUUGUUAAUAUAAUUGUAUCAUCUCUAUUGAAUUACUUGUAGUAUUUAUCCAUCACUAAUCUCUCUCUCUCUCUCUACGAAUGCUCAAGAAGUUUUGGCAAAUCUCGCCCACGGUUCAAAAUCGCCUCAAAUUGGUAGGGUUUCGCAUUAUUUUCUAUUGAUUUCGUCUUUGAUCGAUCUAAUUUUUGACUCUAUAGAUUGGAUCCUUGAGGUGGGGAACAAGGCGUCAAAUGUCGUUGGGGAGAUUCUUCACAAGUAUUUUCGCCAAAGGUUCAACAUCAUCGACAAAGAGGAUCUUAGUCUUUGGUACCCUUAUUGCUCGUCUCUGCAAGGGAGAACCCAUAAAUUUUGGACAUAUUAUGUGAUUUAUUUGUAUGUACGAUUGUUUACAUUAUUCAUGUUUCCUGUAUACUGUUUAAUUUUAAAGAUUUUAUAUCUUGCAGACGUGUAUUUAUCUUUUCUUGUAGUCUAACACUUUCUUGACCUUGAGUUUAAUUGUAUAGAUUGUUGAGUGUAUACAGAUAAAAAAUUAUUUUAGUAGUUUUUUACCAAUUCUUGCAAACUAUUUAAACUAAUGUUCUUCAUUUCAUAUUAGAGUAUUAUUUUCUAUGUAUUUGAUGAACUAUACAUUUAAGACUUAUUUCUCCAAACUAUUAUCGAUAAUCAACAAUAACUAAAAAAAAUAAUUGCUUUGAUAAUAUCUACUCGCCACAUCGUACUGGUAACUACACUAGUUAAAUAGAAAAAAGAAUAGCAUGAAUACUCCCCAUUAAAAACCAAAGCCAUUAUUCUUGAUCAAGAUAUCAAAACAUAUUUCGUAAAAAAAAUUUAACUUAUGUAGAUCAAAUCAAGUUGUUAAACUAACAAAUACAAUGAAUCAAUUGCUAAAAUAAUACAGCUAAAUAAAUUAGUAUAAGCAUUGAACUUUUAUUAAAUUGAACCUUUAAUAUCAUUAAAUAAUUUAUAGUUCUGCUAUGAUUUUUUUUAAAAAAAAAGAUUUUGAGCCCAAAUACUCUACAAAAAUUAAUUCUAGUGUUUACAUAUCUAUCUAUCUAUCUAUAUAGUGUAUCACCUGUCUAUCUAUUUUUAAUUGAUUCAAUUAAUAUAAAUAAUUAAUUAGUUAUCAGUUAUUUACACUUUAAUAAAAUUUGCAGUAUUAUUAGCCAAAAAAAGGAUUUAAAGAAGUUAAAUUUAACAAAGGCUCUUAAAGUUACAAUUUUCUUUUUCAAUUUAAUUAACGAAAUUAACUUAAUUCAAAAUACUAAAGUUAAAAGUGUCGAUCAAAAAAAUAAAAUAAUUAAAGGACCAACUUUAAUAUGGUCAAUAAUUAAAGGAUCUGCUUUUAAAGGUCCCUGUAUAUUUUCACUGAAAAUAAAAAGAAUUUUUGGGCUUUUCUUUUGGCCAAUUUGCAUAAAAAUUCAUCAAGAUUUUGUAAAAGUAGGCAGCCUUUUUAGAUUUUAUAGAUUCAGUCCGAAUUUUCAAUAAACUGACCAAAAUACUUUUAUUUCUCUUUCUCUCUCUUCACGUUCGUUUUUUUUUCUGUACGGUUCUUCCUUUCUUUCUCCUCCCACUUUCUCUCCUUUCUCAUCCUCCCCACAUCGACGUUAACUACACGCUCCUUUCUCUUACUUCACCUGUACGUCAGUCGAUACUGGCUUGAUAUAGAUAGAUUGCAAAUCCAAGUUAUGACUGUGGAUGUACCAAACGGCGAUAGCGGUUCCCAGUUUUUGAGAACAACGGAAGAGGAGACAAAGGGCGAGGAAAAUACAUAAAAAAAGAUGCAGAGGGAAAGAAAAAAUUAUAUAUAUUAUAUUAUAUAUUAUAUAUUUAUAUAUUAUAUCUGAUAUUAUAAAACAAAACACAGUAUGGUUAGGCUAGAAUACUUUUAGCUAGUAUCUAGGGUUGUGCUUACGUGGUUUUUACCAUUGUGGAGAGAUAGUGAGUUGAGAUUGACGGUGUAGUGGUGAGUAGGUUGGACAUAGUCAUUGAGUCUGCAAGACUAUAUAGUACAUUCAAAGUAUAUCCAUGCUAAAAACCUAAAGCACCUAUCGGGGGGGUGAUAUUUGAAAAUUCCUAUGCUUAACAGUACCCAAGUUAAUGAUGUCUUUAAAUAUAAUAUAUAUAUAAAUAAUAAAUAAUAUACUAUAUAAUAUAUAUAUUAUUAUAUAUACUUAUAUUAUAAUAUAUAUAUAUAAUUGAGCUCCUAUACUUUUACAAGUACCAAGUUAUUGAUGCUUGUAGAUUUUCGGUCAUUGAAUUAAGAGAAGUGGAGUUAGGAUGAUGUGGGUCUCUUAGAGUUGAGUGGGUGGUUGGUUAAAUAGUAUAAUCUAAAUGUUGAAAAUGAUUAAAAGCGUAGAUCUAGCGGUAAAAAAUUUACAAACACCAAGUGCUUGGUGCUUUUAUAAGCACCAUAGCCGGACUCUCUCUCUCUCUCUCUCUCUCUCUCUCUCUCUCUCUCUAUCUCUCUCUCUCUCUCUCUCUCUCUCUAUAUAUAUAUAUAUAGAGUCCGGCUACUAUACUCUAAGAAGUACGAUCGCCUUCGUACUCAUAAGUUGUUUUCAAUGAUAGAGCUUCCGAAUCGACGAUCCAUACCGUUAAACAUUAUUUAGAGCAUUUAAAACUUCUAAAAGUCAACUUUUAUAAUUUUUCGAUAUCAUUUACCUUACGAUCAAAAUCUCAUAAAAUUGACAAUUUUUAACGGUCGCUAUGAGAUAUUUGCUAGUUUAAUGGUGAAAAAGAAUCGGAAUAUGUUGAAUUUUUGAUAGAAAAUUCUAUUCACUACCUAAAUAAAGAUCAAUAACUCUGAUCUUAAAUUGAAGGAUCCGAUCAUCCAUUUUUAGGAUGUCAUUCGAUUUUAACCGUUCAUUUUAUACUCGCAUGAUGGACUUUAUAAUGAUUUUGAAAAAUUACGAAAUUUAUUUUCUAGAAGUUUCAAAUACGCUAGAUCAUGUUUAAUGGUGUGGAUCGUCGAUUUGAAAAAUCCAACAUCUAAAACAACUUAUGAGUACGGAGGGCUCUAUACUCAUAAGAGUAUAGCAGCCCUACUCUCUCUCUCUCUCUCUCUCUCUCUCUCUCUCUCUCUCUCUAUAUAUAUAUAUAUAUAUAUAUAGAAUUAUGCUACUAUACUAUCAAUAGUACCAAGCCUUUGGUACUAUUGAAUUUUCGGCCGUUGGAUAAAAAGAUGUGCGGUUAUGAUGAUAGUGAUCCCCGGUUAAAUUGAUAGCGGUCCUCUAGGGUUGAGUGGGUGGUUGGUUUAAUAGUAUAAUCUAACGGGUGAAAAUGAUCAAAAGGUUGAUCUAACGGUAGAAAACUAAUAGCAGGGCUACUGUGCUAUUAGGAGCACAGCAGCCCUUGUGCUUCUAACUUUCUAACCACCCAUCAAGUUUGAUGGGUGGUUAGAAUGAGAGAGGAAAGAGAUAUUGGGGAGAAAUUGGGAGUUAGAAAGUUGAUGAGUGGUUAAAAAGUUAGGAGCACAAGGGCUGCUGUGCUCCUAAUAGCACAGUAGCCCUGCUCAUAUAUAUAUAUAUAUAUAUAUAUAUAUAUAUUUUUUUGAAAAAAUCAAUAAUGUACAGUUAUGACGCUGAAGAAAAAAAAAAAAAAAACAGAAGUCGCCAGUAUUGUAGAAGAGGACAAACUUGUACUGUUUGAGAGCAAAGUUGCACUACUUGAGAAUAUAUUGCACUGUUUAAAAUAAAAUUGUGCAAUAUAAAAUAGAAAGUUGCACUAUUUUUGGACUAAAUUGCACUAGUUGACGAAGUUGCACUAUUUAAAACGAAAGUUGCACUUAGAGAGUAAAUUGUACUGUUUGAGAUAAAAUUGCAUCAUUAGAAUAAGUUUGUCUCAAAUAGUGUAACUUAGUCUUAGACAAAAUUAGAUAAUCUCCCAGCUCCUCGCCCGCGCCCACAUGCUCCCCGAGCUCCACUCCCUCCACCGCCACUUCCUCCUCCCCUCAUCCUCCUCCGCCUCCUAUGCAGUCGCCGCCGCCGUCGCCGUCAUCUCCGUCUUCGCCGUCACCUCUCUAUAGUUAGUCGCCUCUCUGCAAAUUGGCCACUUAUAUUUCUUCUUUGUUAUUUUUAUUAUUUUUAUUUUUUAUAGGAUUUGUUUUGGUUUUUAAUUAUUUGCAUAUAUAUUUUAUAUCAUCCUAGCUAGAUUUGGUAUGGUUAUAUCAAAACAUCAGAUAAUUCUAUUUAGAUCCAAUAUGUUCAUGUACAGUUGAUUUCUCUUCUAUCAUAAGAGAUUAGAAGUGUCCUUAUAUGAGUCAAAAGGUGUCCAUUGAUAUUAUUUGCAAAGAGGAUGGUCAUUUGCUUGUAAGGUGCACUAUGAAUCUCUUAUAAAAAAAAAAAAAUCGUUCUUUAGUUCUAUGCGAUGAUAAAGGUGCACUUUAUUAGGCAUCAAUCAUUCUUUAGUUCUAUGAUUGAGAUGACGGCAGCGGCGGCGGAGACGACGGCAGUGGCGGCGGAGAUGACGGCGACGACGACAGCAGUGAUGGCGAAGACGACGACGAUUUCCGUGGCAAAGACGACGGCGAUAGUUGCAGAAAAGGCGGAGGAGGACGAGGGGAGGAGAGGAGGAAGAGGUGGAGGUGAAGGAAGUGGAGCUCGAGAGCAUGUGGGUGCGGGCGAGGAGGUUGGAGAUGGUACAAUUUUGUCUGAGCCUAAGUUGAACUAUUUGAAACAAAGUUAUUCAAAAUAGUACAAUUUUGUCUUAAACAAUGGGUGCAACUUAUUCUCUAACAGUACAAUUUUUUUUCUUCUUCUCUCUUCUUUCUCUUAAACAAUGCAAUAUAGUCUCAACAGUGCAAUAAGGUCUAAAAAUAGUGCAAUUUUUAUUUUAUAUGGUAAAAUUUUGUCUCAAACAGUACAACUUAUUUUCUCAAACAGUAUAACUUUGGUUUCACACAGUGCAAUUUUGCCUUCUUCUUCUAUUUUCUUUGUUUUUAGCGGCACCAACACAUGAUGAUUUUUUUUCAAGAGAAAAUUUUUUUUUUUUUAUUUUUUUCUUUCACCCUCUAUUUCCUUUUCUAUAACCGUACCUCAUCCCUCGCCCUUUGCCAUAGUUGCCGCAUCUCUGCCCCGACGCGCUCUCCCUCCCCAUCGUCCUCAAAACUUGCGAUACUGUCUUGCCGUUGCUGUCACCAUCCACGACCAUGUAUUCUGUCAUAUCGCGAUCUGUGCUAUAUUCGAGUAGGCGUUGGCGGAGAUGGGAGCGAGAGAGGAGCGCGGCAUUGACAUCAAGGUGGUGGAGGAAGAGGAGAAAGGACAGAAAGAAGGAGGAGAAAGAGAAGAAGAAACGGCUAGGAGGAAGAAGACAAACUGUACAGAAAAAAAAAAGCAUGAAAAAAAGAAAGAGAAAGAGGAAUAAGGACAUUUUGGUCAAUUUAUUAAAAAUCCGGACCUGAUCUGUAAAAUCCAAAAAGAUGGUCUAGUUUUGCAAAAAUCCAAAAUCAAUGAAUUUUCUAUGCAACAUUUUUUUUAAAUUAAUUUUUUUUUUCUUUUUGAGUGAAUGCCCUUAGGCAAAUUUCACUUUGGCAAAUUUCAUUAAGUAGCAGAGCAUAAUAGAAAAUAUACGGGAGAUAACAUCAAGCAGUCAAUGACCUCAACACUAAGACAAAGAAAAAGAUGAAAUUGAAGGUCCCUAAACCUCAACAGUAAAAUAGAGUUUUAUAGAUUACUAUAAUAGGUUGGCACCUAAACCUUAAAACUCUAUAAUUUUUUACUCUAUUUUUUAUUAUUUGGCUUAAAUUUGGAAAAAUAAAUAAUUUGACAUAAAAAAAUCCACCACCACCUUCUCCUUGCUUUAACCACUCCCACUACCUUCUCCUUGCUCAAACCCGCCAACUCCCCACCCCUCCCACCUUCAUCAACACCCUCUAUCGUGAUGACCCUACACGAAAAAUCCACCAAUGUCUCACCUCGAAGCAAAAGAUCCUGUGGGUGGCGGCGGCGACGGCGGCCAAUGGCUAGGAAAAAUGCCGCAAUCUCAAGGAGAAGGAAGCAGUAGAGAUAGAAGAAAAGGAGUAGGAAGUCAUGCGGCAGCUGCGGCGGCGGCGGCGACGCAAGGCGCCGAGGAAGUGGAGGGGCGCAUGGUUGACGGAGUGGGAAAGCCCGUGAGAAUCGCCAGCGGGUCGAGGAGGUGGUAGUGGAAGAUGUAUGGGGAAAGAAGAAGGAGGUGGGAUGAGUUCUCUGGAAAAAAAAAAAAAAAAAAAGUGAUCUAUGCUCUUUUUUCUCCAAAAAACUUCGUUAUGAGUCUAUUACUCUCUUUAUAUUUCAAAAAGUUAUCCAACAUGUCUUUUAUAAAGUUUCAAGAAUUAUAAAAAAUAUACUGUAAUAGACUAUUACUCUGUAUUGGGUGGUACCCAAAUAGGCCCUAGAUAAUUUUAAUAAUAGUUUCUUCUUUGACCAGACUAAAUGGGAAACAUUUGCAUAAUUGUCUGACCUAAUUCUUAAAAAAUUCAAAAUGUAAACAUAGUAAACUUGUAGUGGUGAAAUCCAUACAAUAAGAAAUAUCAUAUCUUGGGCUUGAGCAGAAGCAUCUCCGGUAGCAUGCCUAGAUCUAUCAUGUACAUAGGGCUCUCCCAUACAUACAAAGCAACAAACAAACAAAAAUUUCAUAUGAGUUGGAGUAUCAAAGUAUAAAUCGACUAUUCUAUUACAAACCACAAAUUCCAAAUAUUCUAUUACAUGUUUAGUCAAACAAUGUAACUUACCAAAAUAUUAGAGUUUUAAAUAGGGUUCAACGUUUAGACAACACCAAAAACAAACGGCAGAGAGUUAGCUACGAUGCGACACCCUUGCCACGAUCACCUGCAGAUGAUGAGAAGAACUCUAAAAAAGAAAGCAACAAUGGAACGUGAAAACUAUAUAAAAUAGUUUCCAGUGAGUGGAAUCACCAUAAGGAAAGCUCUAUCCACUAUGUCCACUAGCAUCAUAAUAAUGAAGUAUAAAACAACGGUAAAGAAAUAAUAUGUGUUCAUAACAAGAAAGUCUACUAUAAUGCCUCUAGAAUAUCGGAGCAUGCCAAUCAUCAUCUCUACAUGUAUCAAUUUAUAUGGUUACAAGUUGACUACUCAUCAUCCAAUAAUCUCAAUCAAUACAAGAUCCAAUCAAACUUACGCCUUGUCUAGUGGGACAUUGAACAAUCGCACACGAACCACAUCAGCACUCAACAGGUAGAGCGAGGUGAACAAUCGCAUCUUUACUAGACUAUAUCUCUAGCGAGCCACGGCUUGUAAGAAGCGACACUCACAAGCUAAAGUGCUCAUUGAGCUCAUUUUGGCUCUUGCAAGCUAUAAUUAAUCUAAUUAACUUGUUAUGUCUCAAUUCGGAACACAUAUAAAAGUUAUCUUGCUACAUUGGCAUUUCAUCAAACACUUAGUGGGCAUUUUCAUGAUUCAAGCUCUACAUAUCAUAAUUCCUGUCCAAUUGCUAUUACACUAUCAUGACAUUUUCUAAGGGUGUUCCAUCAAAGAGAAUAAAUAAUCAACAAUUGCAAGGCAUGCAAGUAUAGAUUCCAUCAUAAUCAACCUUUAAAAUUAGAGUUUUCUACUUACGUCCAUGAAUCAUCAAUUUAUAGAAAAUUUCUACUUUAACUAGGAUUUCUCAUGCGACCCUAGAGUAGAAAAUUAACUAUAAAUGUAAGGAAGAAGAUAUAGAGAGAGAGAUCGCUCAUUUUGGAGACUUAAACCUAUAUAUAUAGAUUCCCAGAGAAGGUCGAUAGAUACUUGAAUGGAGUUGAGGAGUCCAUCAAACAACCCUACAAGAGAGUUUCUAUCUCAUAAUUUUUGUCUAAAACUCUUUCACAUAAAACCUCCAAUUUAAAACCCUAAAAUCCACACUCCACAAAAUCCCCCAAAAACUACCAAAAUCACACUAUUUCAAGUCUAAGGGAAAAAAACUCACCUCUUCCAAGUUCUAUCUCCUAGAUUCAAUCUUUGGAUCUAGAGUUGGGCUCUCUAAGAACUCUUCCUUCACUUCUCUUGCUCCAAAUUCAAGCUUGGGUUGAGAUUGAGCUUUCAAAGAGAGAAAAGAGAGUAGAGGUGAAGGCUCAAAGGAGAGGAAGAGGAAAAAGAUGAAGGAGAAGGAAAGAGAGUAGUUUCUCUCUUGUGGCUAAGAGAAAUAAGGGAGACUGAGAGAGAAAGGCAUUUAUAGUUUCAAUGUUACCCCCUCAAUACACAGUUUGCAUACAAAUAAGUACUAGUACUCGAACUUGAGUACUAAUACUCUCUCACUUAGUACUAGUACACUCCAAAGUUUCACAAAAUUCAAGAGUUCCAACAGUAAAAAUAACUCAAGAUGUACCGAUAUUCCACCUCGGAUGUCGAUAAAUCAUCGUAGGUAUAAUUUUGAUUAAUAAUAUGAGGGUUAAAGCAUUAUUUGAUAUAGGUGUAUCUCAUUCUUUUGUAAGCCAUUCUUGCUGUAUCAUAUGGAUUGGAACCGGUAUCUUUGCCGUAUGUAGAAAAGGUUUAAAUUCCUAAUCAUGUAUUGUAUGUUGUCGAAUACUGCUCUGCUUGCCCAAUUAAGGUCGAUGAUUGGAUCAUACUCGUAAAGUUGUUGGCACUAAAACAGUUAACAAACUAUUAACGUUGCUUUGGACAUGGAUUAGCUCACCCGCUUUUACACAAGGACUGAUUGUCGAAAUCGAACUAUGAUCAUUCGUGAGUCGAGCCAAGAGGAAUUUGUCUUUCAUGGUUGUAAGAGUUUUCUCUUUGCAAUGUUGAUUUCGAUGUCGUGGCCAAGCACUUGAUGAAUAACUGCUGUGUAGCCAACUUGGUGUGGAUGGUGGAUGUGACAAAGGAGGCUUCGGGACUCAAAGACAUCCUACUAGUUCGCGAAUUCCCUAAUGUCUUCCCUUUGGGGCUAGAUGUCACCAAAUCGAAAAAUCGAAUUUGUUAUUGAUUUGGUUCCUAGUAUGGCUCCUAUUUGCAAAGCACCAUAUAGGAUGGCACUGGCUAAACUAAGAGAGUUGAUGGUGCAACUUUAGAAUCUUUUGGAAAAGGGUUUUGUUAAGCCGAGUGUAUCGCCUUAGAGAGCUCCAAUGUUGUUAAACAAGGAGAAGGACCCCGUUUGUGUGUAGACUACAGCGAAUUAAACAAGAUGAUAAUUAAGAACAAAUAGGCAUUGUCGCGUAUCCAUGACCUCUUUGAUCAACUUCAAGGAUCAUGGGUGCACUCAAAGAUAGAUAGGGAUGUCAAUGGGUAUGGAUAUCCGAAAUAUUAUCCAUAUCCGAACCCGAACGGGGCGGGUUUAUCCGAGCUAAAAGGAUAUGGAUUUGGUUAUGGGUAUAGAAAAUAAAAACCCAACGGAUAUGGGUACAGGUAUGGAUUUUGUAUAUACCCGACCCGAACCCGAACACAAACCCGAAUAAAUUAUAUAUAUAUAUAUAUAUAUAUAUAUAUAUAUAUAUAUAUAUAUAUAUAUAUAUAUAUAUAUAUAUAUAUUUAUUUAUUUAUUUAUUUAUUUAUAGAACUAGGCUAAUACACUAUUAAUAGCACCAAGUUAUUGGUGCUACCAAGUUUUUGGCCAUUGGAUUAAGAAAUGUACGGUUAGGAUGAUGUAGGCCCUCUAGGGUUGAGUAAGUUGUUGGUUGAAUAGUAUAAUCUAACGGGUGAAAAUAGUCAAAGGGUUAAAUCCAACGGUGGAAAACUCGAUAACACCAAGUGCUUGGUGCUAUCGAUAGUAUCCCAACCGUACUCUCUCUCUCUCUCUCUCUCUCUCUCUCUCUCUCUCUCUCUCUCUCCUCUCUAGUUACUAUCAUAGUUAGUAUAUAUAUAUAUAUAAAUUAUUUUUUUAUAUAAUAUAUAAAAUAUUUAAUAAUGU
rnacentral:lncRNA from 1 species